rnacentral:lncRNA from 1 species
GUGGGGGAGUGGUUAGGCGCCGCGCCGGAUUGGUUGGUGAGAUUAUUAUUUCAAAAACAAAUUGCUUAUUGAUUAGGGAAGGAACCAGAGGAAAAAGGAAAAAAGCAUUGGGGGCAGGUGCGAGGUGCACUGCGUGUUGUUGCUGUACACUUGUACUGCGCCUAGCUUGCUGGAAUUAGAAAUGCAUGCUGCAGCUGCUCAUUUUCUCUUGGAGAUGACGGUAAAAUCUUGCGCGCGUGUAAUCUGUGCCGCCAUUCUUUGAUUCAUGCGGCGAUGUGAUGAAUAAGGAAAAGAAAAUAGUACCGGUGCGGUGCUCCAGUCCCCUUGUUUCUCGAUGUGCCUGGAUGUGCAGUGUUGGGAGACAGAUGUUUAAACUUUAGCUCUUUGUCACAUUAGAUGUGUUCGGACGUUAAUUAAGAGUUAAUUACAAACUAAUAGCAAAACCUCUAAGCUAAAUUGAAACAUGAUCUAAUUACAAAAACUAAUAGUAGAACCUCUAGGUUAAAUCGCGAGACGAAUCUAUUAAGUCUAAUUAAUCAAUCAUUGUCAAAUCAUGAACAAAUUAGAUUUAACAGAUUCGUCUCGCAAUUUAGCCUAGGUUGUGCAAUUAGUUUUGUAACUAGUCUAUGUUUAAUAUUCUAAUUAGGGUGUUGGAUACCCCAUACUAAAAUUUAACACCUGUCACAUCGGAUGUUUAGAUGUUAAUUAGAAGUAUUAAACAUAGACUAAUUAUAAAACUAAUUGUACAAAUGGAGUCUAAUUCACGAGACGAAUCUAUUAAAAUGUGGUGCUACAGUAACCAUUUGCUAAUAAGAGAUUAAUUAGGUUUAAUAGAUUCAUCUCGCGAAUUAGCACAAGGGUUCUGCAAUUAGUUUUAUAAUUAGCUCAUAUUUAAUCAUCUUAAUUAAUAUCAGAACCUACUAUGUGACAGUGCUAUCCGCUGAACGAGCUCCUGUUGUCCGUGAAACGUCUUGGCAUGGCGGGUGGGUUCUCCCCUCAGCUGAGGGCCUGCCCGUCACUGUCAGUGACAGGUACCAAAAGAAGGGCGCGUACAAAUACGAAAGGGCUAUCGACACAUCAAAACUUGCUGAUUGACAGUCAGCUACAUAAAGGCUACUACUAAUCUCUCGGAUGGCGAUCUCUACUUUCAAGUGCACACGUAAAAUUGAAUGCCGUCUUUUUUAGAUGGAUUUUCGCGCGGCGUGUGCAGCACAUGUCGACAACCGACGACGGGUAACGGCGACAUGUCGCGUCGCAAAUGAAGCGCGCCUUCUUCGCGCGACGGGAUUCCGCGGAGGCUUGCUGAGACAUCAUCGUCAUCCAUGGUACUAGUAAUACGAUCGUUGUGAUUGCAGCUUCCGAGCAUAAGCGUACGCUCGCGUUCCCUCUUCUCGUCGGCAAACAGCAACAGGAUCACGUCUGAAAAUUGUAGCGCUCGGAGAAAUCUCAAAAGAACAAUGAAGAACCUACUACCUCGGCAGGGUGCAAAUGGCAUAGUAGCCUUUCCUGAUAGAAAAAGUAGAAUGAGGCCGGCUGUCACGGUCUCACCGUCAACUUCGCGCUCUCACCCGCAACUUCGCGGACGGAGAUGCAGCAUUAGCGUCGUCAUCAAGAAGACGAUGCAUGCACAUGCACCGGACGGACAGUUCGAGCUCUGCUGGGGUGCACAUCACGUCCUGCAAACGGACGGACCCAGCUAGCGUCACAUCUGACGCCGUCACGCGAGGCGGCGCCCGCCGCCCCUCCCAUCCGGCCGGCGACUCCGAGGCUCCCAGCACCGCCCCUUCCUCUCCCCUCAGAUGAGAUCCCGUCCCAGGAAGGAGAGGCCCCACGUCCCCCGAGGGGUGGAUCUCGGGCUCCAUGGCGCGGUGGCAGCAGAGGCAAGCCCCAUCCCCAUGGAUAAAAAAGUUGAGAUGCAGCAGGACGCAACGUUUUACGGACACGCGCGCGCGGUGGAUAAGGUUUGGGAUCUGCCAACUGCAUGCAGAUCCAAAUCCAACAGCAUCAGCACUGCUCUGCUGGUAGUACGUUGCUUUCGGGGAAAAGUACCGACAUGCUAGUUUUAUUUCGAUUAUAAUUACAAGGCCGGCAUGCUUAAUUUAAGUUCCCAAGCUUAGCAGCUAGCAACCGCUUUCGGUUGGGGCAGUUUUUCUUUUUCAGUAGGCCAUUCCGACAGACGCGGUUGGGUUUGCCAAAGCUUCUGACUGGUACGUGGGUCCGACCUCAGCAUUUCCAGCGACAGGCAGCAGCGGUUGUGCGCCGUCUUUUAUAUUGCAAAGGGGAAACAAAAAAAUAAAAAUAAAACGCGUAUACAAUCGCUUGACAGCUCCGAAUCUAAAAUGCUGAGGUCGGAGUUGCAUGAUGAUUUUAUCUCAACAUCAAGUGCGCACGCAAUCGCCGUUUUGCACAUUUCGUGGUUACAGUCGCCGCGCGCAUGUAUUGCUGACUAAUGACGGCGACCAAGCAACAAGGAACCUCUUCUUUGCCGCAACGCCGCCAAAUUCGCUUUCUUUUCUUCUUCUUCUUCUUCUUUCUUUUCUUUGAAAUGAAUGCAAAGUUCGCUUUCGUGCCAUCGAAUUCCAGACAGUGGGUUUCAUUUCACAUAAUCUCGCGUUUGAACCGUGCAAGGUCCAGUGGUAUGUAACACCACAAAAUCUAUUUAAUUCUCUUUAACUGUAUUUCAACAGAAAAAGUGUUCAAUUUUAUCUAAUUAUUUGAUUCUCUUUUAUUGAAAGGAACAUGGAACUGCAAAAGUGGCAUUUGAUGACGGUGCAUCAGUACAAAAUGUUUCCCCAAGUACUUCUGGCCCAAGGAAGGAAUGCCUGAAUCAUACAUGGCCAUUAAUUCCUUCUCUCAACUUCUGAUGGUAAUAUUUCAAAAUGAUGAUCAAUAUAGUCAUAUGCACAAAGAGUUCAAUUACUUUUCUUUUAUUUUGCAGGGAGUCAGCACAGAUGAUUUUAAUGCUGAAUUCUAACAACGGAGCUUGUGCUUGAGUGAAGCUUUUGGUUCUGUGUUUCAAAUGUUUAGUUCAGUAUGUCAUAUGCACUUGAGCAUUUGAGCUCUGCAACAUUUUGAGUUUCAGUAUGACAGAACAAUACAACAUCUUGAGCUCUGCAAAUUUCUGUUCAUUCCGUCUGGUCGCUGUUGGAUCGAUUCCGAACAGCGUAGAUGAGUCGACUGCCGAGUACAGUCACUGGGGGUGACUGCAGACGAUCUGAAUCCAUCACCACGGACAGACGGAAGAUGCUUAAAUUAAAUGGACAGCAAUUGACGAUAGGAUCAAUAUGGUGUACGCCAAUUGCGCAACACCAAAAUCAAUAUUGUUUUCUGCGAAUCCUGUUGUCACUUGAAAUAAUCCAUCACUUGCAAACACCGACUCUUAUGAUGAAAAAAUAGAAUGAAUCGCAAAUCAUAUUCAUAUACGUAUAGGAAGAGUUGGUAGACUUGGGCUGUGUCUCUCCAAAAAGAAAAGAAAAGAAGUGGAACUAUAGAAGUGCCAGCCAAACUGUGAUCAAAGUCCAUAAUCGCAGUUGGCCAAAUGGUCAUAAACUCCUUUUUUUUUUAUAUAUAUGUUCACCAGCAUCUCCACCUGUGGUGAUUGGCCUCUUGCUAAUUCAUCUUCAUCAACAGAAUGUCUAUCUGGUUCAACAUUGACUUCUUUGUCAAAUUCAUCUGCAAUCAGCCUCAAUGCUGUGCAGUCCUUCAGUGAUUUGUACCACAACAAUGGCUUUACUGAUGAUUGAUGAAGUUAGAAACUUUGAUCCAUACCAUGUUAAUGGGAAGGAAGCCCGGAGAGACAUUGUUCAAUAGCUUUAAUAGCCUUUGCCUAUUAAGAUUUUGUAUUGGUUGUACUGCUCUUCCUCUUAAUGAAAUACUUCCUCUGUUCUAUAUAAGUUAUUCCAACUUUCUUGGAGAGUCAAAGCAUCUUAAAUUUGACUAAAUUUAUACAAUAAAAUGCUAACAUUCAUGAUACCAAAUAAGUAUCAUUAGUUUUUUCAUUAAAUGUACUUUCAUAGUAUAUCUAUUUGGUGCCAUAAACCUUUGUGAUCCUCUCUAUAAUUUUAAUCAAACAUAAAUAGUUUGACUCUCCAAAAAAAUUGAAAUGAUUUAUAAUUUAAAAUGGAGGGAGUAUGUGCUAAGGCACGUUCGCGGAAAAUGCUACUGCAGAGCCAUGCAAAGGGCAUCGCUAAGGAAUCUGCUUGUUGACUGGAUCAGCUGUCAUCUGGGCCUAUAAAAUCUUAUUUUGGAAGAAUUUAUUUUAUUUUGCAUCUCAUUUGUUUGGAACAGCUAUUAUCUCGCAUUAAAUUUUUGUUCCUAUUGCAACGCUCAGGCAUUACCUAUAAGGAAAAAAAACACAGAUGUGUACAAUCACUAUACGGCCCUUAAAAUUGAAAUGGUUUUGGCCCUAUCGAUUUAUUGUUAGCGCCGGACGGUUUCAAUGACACUGCUUCACCCGCGAGGCAUAUUUCCGAGUUGAGGAACAUCUGUUUGUGUGUGUUCCGCUUUACAUUUAGGCUGAGGAUGCAUUAGGGCCACUUGGCAGAUCCGAGCCUAUUUGUUCCAAGAAUGCGUCUAGCUCCAAAAGAAAGCAACAAAAGUGCGUCCAGCCCAAAAAGCAGAGAGAUUCAGUUUUCUAUAGACCAGAACAGUGGAUGUAGUGCAACAAAAUCGCAUCGUGGGGCCUACUCUGUGUCAGCAACUGGUUGCCUAGCGCAUCACCCGCACAAUAAUCUCGACGGCAACAUCUCCACGGAUGGAAGAUGCCAAUAAUAGUGAACUACUUUUUUCCCUUGCGAAUCCAUGCUAUCACUUGAAAACACUUGCAAACGACUCUUCUGAUGGGGAAAAAAAAAUUGAAUCACAAUAUGAUGAGGUGGUAGACUUGAGCUCCUCUCUGUCUAUCUUUAAAGAAAAGAUAAACAAAAAAUAAGAAGAAGUGGGAUUAUACAAGAGUCCGAUUCAUCAGAGUCAGUAAUCAUUCUUUCUAUUGGCCAAAUAGUCACAAGUUUUUUUUCCCCUAUAUGUCCACUUGUAAAGAAAGGAACGAAACAAGGUAAGAGAAAAUUUGCCAGCACCGACUAUUUCUGACAAUGGCAUCCCAAGAGGGUGUUUGGAUGCGAGGUACUAAAUUUUAGGAGGGGUCACAUUGAAUGUUCGGACGUUAAUUAGGAGGACUAAAUAUGAGCUAAUUAUAAAACUAACUGCAGAAUCCCUAUACUAAUUUGCGAGAUGAAUCUAUUAAGCCUAAUUAAUCUAUCAUUAGCAAAUAGUUACUGUAGCACCACAUUGUCAAAUUAUGGACUAAUUAGGCUUAAUAGAUUCGUCUCGCGAAUUAGACUCCAUCUAUGUAAUUAGUUUUGUAAUUAGACUAUAUUUAAUACUCAUAAUUAGUAUCAAACAUCUGAUGUGAUAGGUACUAAACUUUACGAGCCUGUAUCCAAACAGGCGGAAACCCCGCAACUUUGCCUCCCAGCGAUGAUGCUGACCUUUAUGCAGGAUCAACCGAAACUGGCGGUGUAUGAUUUGCAGCAGCAAAUCGUUGAGGCAAACAUUGCAGAGCUUCAGACAUCGGAAUAUCGGAUCUGGUUGCUUAGUCUUUUCGAGGAAUGCCGAGACGAUUGAAGCGCCAACAGAACAGAGAGUACCCACGGGCCAAAACAGUUCUAUCUUGAACGAACGGGGCUGAUGUCUGGGCCAGUGCAGAGUUUGGGCUUCAGAGACAGUGCCAGCCGACAGGGACCAACUGCUGUACACCGUAGGGGGGAGGGUGAUCUCAAGCAUGUAAUGCCUUUGACGAUGGAAUGCCCAUCGUCUAGCUAGCCAUGAAGGUCCAACUCUCAUUUGCCAAAGAAUCUGCCUACGCAACCCUUUCAUAUGCCAAAAACUUAUCUCUAAAUUGCCAACCUAGCUGCUUUUUUUUUUGGCGAGGAGCUGCUUGUUUGUUAAACUUUGCCAACAAAAUCAACUACAAUUAUAAGAGGGAGAGGUCUUGAUGAACUAAUAAUUUGUAUCGCCACCAAACCAAACUGUGGUUACGUACCAAAAUUUGAUUCCUGCCCCUCCAAGUGCUGCACAUCAUAUCCUUCAAAACAGGAAUAGCAGCGUCACACUUGUUGAUCGUAACAACUUCAGUGGACAACCACGAAACCUAGUUGUUAUUUUCUUGCUUUGGAAAUCGAGAUGCAGAACACGGUACAUGCUGCUACACAAGUACGCAUACACGUAUAGCAACAAAAUCAGGACCCAAGUGGGGCCAUGCAUGCCCCCCUCACGCUCGACGUGCACCACAUAUACUUGCUAUGUUAAGUUGAUUAUUAGGAGGUCUAAAUAUUUUGACACCUUUUGUAUUACUACGAUGAGUAUUCAUCCUUAACGUCAGUACCGGAUGGUUUUUCAUCAGUACCCUAACGUGCGAAAUUAGUACUGGAUAGAAAUUUUCGAUCCUUGGAGACCUUUUAGUACCCGCCAAUAACACCAACCGGUACUAAAUGUCACCAUUUUUUUCAACUGUUCGUUUGCGGGGACCUCCCGUCUGUUCGUCAAUUUUUUUCUUUAUUUUUUGGGCGCAAAGCCGUUUAGUACCGUCGGUAACAGUGACUGGUACUGAAUGGUGCAUUUAGUAUCGGAUAUUUUGACCGGUACUAAAUGCCGGUUAGACGCUCGGUACUAACAGGGGUUACUGACCGGUACUUAACCGGUACUAAAGGUCGAUUCUUCAGUAGUAUAUGAUUUCUAGCUCCGUUCUGGAAUAUAAUAAAACGAACGUCGUGACGUUGAUGUGGGUAUGGAAUAUUGGACAACAACGGGACAAAGACCCGACUCAGAAACACUUUAACGUCUGUUGUAGAGAUCCAUGUAUAACGCGGAUAGUUGUAUGGUUGUUGCGUAUAGCUAAUAACAACAUGUAAGCCUGAUGUGUAUAUGCAUGUACACUCCUGGUGAUGAAUGGACGAUGGAUAACAUUGAGUAGAUAGAGUUUAUUAGGGUGUGAUGUUUAUUAGGUUUUGUUGUCAAAUCUUGACCAAACAUUUGUUUAACUACGUUUAUAUUCCUUCGCAGAAAAGGGGUUAGUAGCACGUGUUUAGAUCUCCAGGUACAAGUGUCAGUUGUGAUGGUUUAUUUAGGUGGACAUGUUUAGCAAACAUGAAAGUAGCCAUGAUCGUGGUGUUCUACGGUGCGUAGACACUUGCGAACGUCCUCAUGUAUCUUAUGCUAAUACUCCUUCGAUACUGUCCAGACACUGAUACACAUUCGAUACUUGUCGGACAAGUAUCGGAUAUUUCAAUAAUUUUAUUAAAUAAAUAAAAUAAUUCUGAUAACUUGUCGAUUCUUUCCUAAUACCUAGAAAUCCUAACAUCUCAUUCUAUAAAUACAUCAUUGUUCACAGUACUAAUAAGGAAUAAUAAUAGAGAACAUAAUGAAUUAUUAUAUAAGAUAAUAAGCAAUCCGUUACUCCAGCGACCUUUUAGGUGAUGCUUACGAAUUAUGCAUGUAUUUUUAUUUUAUAUAUAUAUAUAUAUAUAUAUUAUAUAUAUAUAUUCGUGUAUCCCUGUAUCGGUGUUUUUGGAAUAAUAGUGUAUUGGAGUACCUGUGCAACGUAGGUUGUGUUCGUUUGUGUCUGGAAAUAGUAGUGCAACACCAUGCCGUUUGAUCGACGCACGCGCUUGCAAACACAGGUUCUUGUGGUAAGAAAACAAUAUUUGAAUCGCGCAAAUCCGUUUCAUAUGUAAUUUAAUACGGUGAGACAGACCUGUAUCUCUCUACUCCUCUCUGUUCCUCUCCGUUUGUCCGGAACAUAUGCAUGCCUCCUGAAAAUAUCGCCCCCCCCCCCCCCCCACCCCCCCCCCCCCCCCCCCGCCCCCCCCAACACACACACUCACCAAAUGACCUCGAAAUGUCUGGUAGUCCUUGCAACUCAUCCUAUCAUCGUAUCGCUUUCUGACGCGGAACGCAUUCUCUUCUCCCUCUCCUUGCAUUGUGGGGGCAUCCGCAAACGGACAUGCGACAGUCGCGAUCGCACGUCCACGUCCUCCUGCGAACGAACGGACAUGGCAGCGUCACGUCUGGUCUGAACAAAAUCCGGUGAACGGCUCAGAGCAUAUUGCCGAGGCUAACCGCUUGUUGCCGAAUGCAAAUUUCUGUUCAAAGUGAACCAAUGGUAACUUCGUAAACCAAAAAAGAAGAUAAAAUAAAAAAUUGACGAUCCAAAAUGGUGGGCAAGACUCGAAGAGGCGAUGCUACCUCCCCUCUGCCUCUCGAUUCUUCGAACUCACCUUAUCAUCUCUCUUAUUUCUCGUCACCACUCACCUGCCUUCUUUCCCCCCUCCCCCUCUCCCCUCAGGAUGGUCACUCGCUCACUCCUCCAUCGGAAGCUUCACUAUCACCCCUCUCACUCACGGCACUGCUGGAGCUGCCGCCCCACUAGGCCACUACAUACUGCGGCUGUAGUUCAUCACCUCCAUCACUAGCCGCGGCAGCGCUACAUUCACCGGAUAUUCUAAGCAAACGUUUUUACUCCAAAGAAAGUUAGAGUACGGCCAUAGAGAGACGACUAAAAGUCGAAUACAUCAUGAUCAAAGGAAAGAAUAAUCAAGAAAUAGCAUGUCGAGGUCACGAGGUCAAGGUCAAUGUCAGGCUGGUCACAACUCAACUCAUGCAUGAAUGAACAAUCUAAAGGGUCACAUCAACGGAUUCUUCAUGCUUCCCCUGUUUUUUUCUAUAAAAAAGAUGAAUUAUGAGCUUGCUUGGUUUGCUACCAAUUUUUGCCCAGCCAAAGUCACGGCAUGCCAAAAUCAGGGCUUGCCAAAAUCAAGGAUGCCAAAGUUAGGACACAAAAUUUAGGUAUUCAAUUGGUUUAGUGUCAAAAUAUGGCAACCGAAACUUUUUUUCAUAUGAUGAGCUUUAAGAAGUUUUUAGAAAUCUGCCAUGAUUUUGGCUAUAAACAUUGGCAUGCCAAUUUUUCUAGUAGUGAAGCAGUCGAUAGCCAAAUCUUUUAGGCAUGCUAUGAUUUUGGCUGGGCAAAAAAAAAUUAUAUUCCUCUUGCGAAAUCCACGGCAAUCUCAUCUCCCUCCUUAACUUCUGCCAGUAAAACAAUGCUGACGGAGGAUAAUUACACUGCGAUUGUGUAUACUUAGCUCGAUCUGGCCUUCAUUUACUCGUGCCGGUUGUCCGUUUCUUAUAGCCUUUAGCCUUUACGCAUUUGAAAACCGUUGUCGAUUAAUCGUGAAUUUAGAAGUACUUUAGGAAAUGAGAAAGAGAGCCAUGAACACGUACAAUGGCAAAACUCUGGACUGAAUUCUUUUUUUCCCCUCAAGUUGUGAUGCAGUUUUACAAUAACACCAUCCUACCACUAGCACUCUCAAAACAUAGAGAUGAUUUCCGGAGGCACUCCUUUUGGGAGAAUAUCUACUGCUUGCGUGCCAUCAAGUUCCAAACAAAGCGUUGGCACCGGAGACUAAUUCUUUUUCCAAAAGAAAAACAAAGCCUUUGCAAGUUCGGAAAAGAGAAGAUCCUAGCGCACCAAGCUUAACACUUUAUCAUCGAACCUGACUGUCAGAGUCCAUUUCCAAUCAUCGUAUAUGGCAUUUCUGAUGCGGAAUGCACUUUCCUUUGUGAGCCAUCUACUCGUGCAAACUUUUAUGUCAUUGCGAUUGCAGCGGCAAAGUGUCAGCGUCAUGUUCAGAAGACGAUCGGGCACCGCACAGUUUUGUUUUGGUAUCGUUUCCUUUCCUUUGUUUCCAAGCGUGCAAUGCACAUAUUCUGCAUCGGGCACGCUGGUGUCACGUCUCAUGUGAAAACGGUUUCAGCAAACAGCUUCCGAUUGGCCGGAUAAUCACAUCCUGAAGAAAUACUCUACCACCAAGAGAAAAACUAUUCAAAGAACAUAAGCUGAUGCAUUAUUUUGUAUGCCGAGAAAAUGUUAUAUGAUCCUGUCCGGCACAAGCAAUGCAGAAUGAGCUGCAUCAGCAUAAGUUCUCUGAAUUUUAUCAUUGAAAUGCCAAAAAAAUUGGCACUUCGCAUACCAAAAACUGUCAUGUUCCCUGAUUGCCUCUCUACGCAAGCAAUCGAAUUGCAGGCCGGACUGAAUUGCAUCAGCAAAUCUUUCAGAUUGCAAGACAAACUAUUCAGAGACUGCAGGUACACGCUGGAUGGGUUGGUGAGAUGAUUUUUUUUAAACAAAUGCUUAUUGAUUGUGGCAAGAAAGGCAGCUGUAGCUGCUCAUCUUCUCCGUGUGACUAGUUGAAUGCCCGAAUGUCGCUGUUUUUUUAGGAAGCCAGAAGCUAGUAGUAGCACUUCUCUCAGCGUCCUAGAGCGGGAUAUCAGAUAUGCAUUGUUACAUUUGGCGCCAACAUAGCCUCAUUAAAUUUUGGUAUCUGAAUGGUAAUCAAUUAGAUGCAAAAUAAUAACAUAUAACAUUAUUAAUGCUCAUUCAAAACCCAAAACAAUUAUUUUAUUUAUCUUUCUCAUUACUGGAACCAUUACAACUACGUAGCAUUUCCCGUGUUGUGACUUGACAUUAUAUUCCAAAUAGUAUUUUGCAAUGGUAGAAUCAAAGGAGUACCAGGAACCGAAAGAAGUAUUCCAACCAGAGACAAUAUAAGAGGUACCAGUCCAGUGUGUAACCAAUUACCACAAGAUGCAGCUUAAUCUUCCUGUCAUCGCAGGUUAUUAUAGGUGCUAUCAAAUUUCAAACCUGGUAUAAACUCCACUUAAAGAAUUCAAUAGAAUGAGGCAAGUCCAAUUCAUAAAGCUGAUUGUUCAUUGCAAUCUUUCACCAUGUCUCAUCAGAACUUUGCAUCCUUCCAAGCUCGUAGCAACCUGGUGGCAUGAACAGCCGAUUGAGCAUGUAAAAUAUUUGGUGAGACAAACAUAGUAUGACCAUGACAAAAAACUUUUCUUUUGAGAAAAGAUACACAAAGGUCUCCUCUAUAUUGACAUUGGCACCCUACAAUUUGCUUUCUCAGGUGAUAGUCAAAGUAUGCUAUGUAUGCUUGACUGAUUGAACUAUACAGCCUUUUCAGCUAAUUUUCUCAUGCAGUGAUUCUUCUUUCCGAUCCUAUUCUCAUGAUGCUUUUUUCUACUGCUAUUCACAUGAUGUUACGGAGCUCUUCGGACUGUCUCUCUCCACCAUUCUCAACAUGACUCCAUCACCACUUCCGGUUAGCCAUAAACAUAAAAUUGCACUUAUGGAACAUGAUAUGCAACCGAAAACUCAAACCUCUUCCUCAAACACUCAUUACAUCAAAAGCUACAAAGUCACAUCUCAACUUCUGGUCUCUCAGACUAUGAAAAAUAAUGUUCAACAGAAACAUUACAAGCACAUAAUUACGGAAAGUCAAAUAAAUCAAACUACAAACAUUUCCAACAAGAGAAACAUUAUAACGUAAUUUGUAGAAAUAAAAAAAUAUACAAAUUAGUUAGACAAUUCUUCAUGCCAUGGAAGCCAACUGGUACAACUUCGUAACUGGCUGAGAAAACAAUUACAUUUAAAAUGCUUCGACGCAUCUCAAUCUCUGCAGCAACGUUUGUUUAGUGGCCAUCUGGCUAGGCUGUCUUUUGACAUUUUAGCUGGAGAAUAAAAAUAUAGGUGGCCAUGAUGCUUUUUUCCUGGUUUGCAUGAUACUUCCUUAAAUCAAGUCAUCAUCCCUUGCCAAAAUUCCAUGUCUAUUAUCUCUUUGCUCUUAUCAAAAGGUUUGAAUAAAUGCCUCUUGGAUGGCAAAAAUUUUUGCAAACACAUCUCGCAUUCCUGGUCUAUCUUUUGGUGAUUCCAUGGAACACAUAAGGCCAAUUUCAACCAAUGGUAUGAUAUAGUUUUGCAAGUGUAGAUUACAAAGAACUUCAUCUUCCUUGUUUUGCAUUUGGGGGUCUAAAAUCUCAUUGAUUUUAUCAGGGAAUGCUAGGUCCACAUACUUAUGAAGGCUAAGAUUGUUACCAAAUAGUUUGUCAGUCGGUCGCUUUGCCGUGAGCAUUUCUAGUAGCAGCACCCCAAAACCAUAAACAUCACCACCGGUUGAGAUUUUGCAUCCCAUUGCAUACUCUGUGAAAUAGAUGCAAUGCACAUAAAUUGAGAAACUAAUAAGAAAAUAAGAGAUAAACUUAUAGUCCUUCAAAUGGAGGAGUCGUGCAAAUUACCAGGUGCAAUAUAUCCGAUGGUUCCUGAGGCUCCAACCAAGCCUUCUGGACUGCUGUUAAGACUUGAAGAGAGAAACUUCGCUGACCCAAAGUCACCAAUGCGUGAGGUCAUGUCAUAGUCCAAAAGAACAUUGCUAGGCUUCAAAUCACAGUGAAUCAAUGGAGGUACCAAUUGGUUGUGCAGAUAAUCAAGAGCAGAAGCCACAUCUGCCAGAAUACUAAUCCUUUGACCUAAACUUAACACCCUCCUUGGGCUACCUUGGUGUUGCCUUGAGUGUAUCCACAUGUCUAGGCUACCAUUUGCCAUGAACUCAUAUACUAGAGCUUUGAAUUCAUUGUUCUCAAAAUCUACUGUCGAGCACAAGGUGAUUGCUUGAAUGAGAUUGCGAUGGCGGGUAUGCUUUAACACUUCACACUCAGUGAAGAAGCUAUGGAGCGAACCUUGCUCAUCAAGAUGAAAUACCUUGAUGGCAACAAGGUCUGUAUCAAACUCAAACCGACCAAUGUAGACUGAUGCUGUAUGACUUGAGCUGAUCUUGUUGACUAGAGAGAACCAAUUGGUGGCUUUAAGAAUGUCUCCAUAUGACACCUUCUUCAUUGUCUCUCUAUAGCUUUCAGAUGGUUGGGUUGUUUUUCCCUUCAUAACAGUGGCAAUAACACAUAAAAAUGACAAUAAAGCGAUAAUAACUGGUGGAGCUAUUAUCAGCAGGAGGCGUGCAUUGAUUUUCCUUUUUGAUGCUGAAGUGGUGGGACAGAUCGGCAAUGAAAAUAUGGGAAUUCGUUGACAUAGUGCCAUGUUACCUUCUAGCAUGACUGCAUUUGAACUAUUUGCGAAGAUUCCACCGGUUGGAAUUGGUCCUUCCAGUUUGUUGUAUGAUAGAUUAAGAUGAUGUAUGGUCCUGAAGUCCUCGAAGAAUUCUGGAAUUUGACCAGAUAAGUUGUUUUCAGAGAGAUCCAUUUGUUGUAUGGCCUUCAGUGCACUGAGAGACUGAGGAAUAAUCCCACUAAGCAUAUUUCCUUCCAUCUGAAGGGAUGACAAGACAACACACAGGCCAAGUUCAGGUGGUAUUUCACCAUAUAACUUGUUGCUGGAAACAUUCAAUAGGCCAAGAUUGAUCAGUUUUCCAAUUUCUGGUGGUAUCAUUCCUGUAAGGUUGUUGUUUGACAAGUCCAACCCCAAAGAAAGCGAAGAAAUGUUGAGGAUUUCACUUGGUAUGGAUCCAUCAAGGUUAUUGACUGAUAGAUUUAACAUAGUCAACCUUUGGUACUGUCCUAGACUUGCUGGGAUGUUUCCAGACAAUAAGUUAUCAUCCAGGGAAAGCUGGUUCAAUUGAGAGAGAUUACCGAGUGUGGAUGGGAUUUCCCCUGUAAACCUGUUCCUAGACAAUGCCAGGAUAAUCAAGUUUCUUAAAUUCCCAAUAGUUGAGGGAAUGGUUCCGUUCAGGGAAUUCCCAUCCAGUGCUAACAUUAACAAUUGACUGCAAUUUGUUAGGGAGGUUAGAAAAGCCCAGUCUUCACCUUGUAGCAUGUUACUUCCUAGAAUCAGUCGGCUCAAGUUGCUCAAGGAUCCUAGAGAUGGAAUCGGGCCACUCAGUAAAUUACUUGAGAGACCAAUUACUUGGAGCUUCGACAUGUUGGUCAGUGAAGCUGGAACCAUUCCACUGAAUUUGUUGCCACUCAAGAUCAAUGAUUUGAGGUUUGGGAGUGAGUGGCCUGUGUUAAAAAGUAUCUGUCCAUCAAGCACAUUAUUGCUUAAGCUAAGGAAUCUGAGUGAUGAGACAUUGUAUAUCGUGGCUGGGACAUUCCCCGAUAAUUGGUUGUAACCUAGAUCUAGAAAGCUUAAGUUCAGGAUAUGACCCAAGGCUUCUGGAAUCGACCCUUUCAAGUUGUUCUGUGCUAGUCGGAUGUAAUUUAAGGAUGAAACGUUUCCUAAAGAUGCUGGUAUACUUCCAGAAAGAAAGUUUGCAGAAAGGUCAAGUAAAAUCAGAGAUGUCGUUUUUUGGAAAUAUGGAAUUGCCCAAGAAAGAGAAUUCUGUGAGAAGUCCACUGCGACAAGGUUGGAUGAAUUAUUGAAUAGGGUACCUGGGAUCUCCCCAGAUAAGUUGUUCGCUGCAAGAUGAACAUAUCUAAGAGAAGCAGAUGUACCCAGUGACAGAGGGAUGAUACCUGCAAGUCUGUUUCCAGAAAGCAUCAGAGUUUCGAGGCUCGGAAUCGCGCCUAUCUCCUCAGGUAUGCUUCCAGAAAGAUCAUUGUUUGAAAGGUCCACCCUCACCAGAGAUGUAAGGGUCACCAUGCAACUGGAUAGUUGUCCUUUGAGCUGCACAGACCAUAGUUCUAGGGACACCACACGGAUCGGGAGGGUCGUGCUGCAGUUGACCCCUCUCCAGCUGCAAAAGUUGAGCGAGUCAUUGCGCCAUGACCGGAGGACACCGGCAGGGUCGGCGGAGAUGCCGGACUUGAAGCAGAGGAGGGCUUGUCGGUCAGCCUCGGAGUCGGAGCUAUUGCUGGUCUGUGCUGAUGACAAGGUAGCGUUGUUGGAGGACAGAAACAUGAGGAUGCCAUACAGUAGAAAGAGCACAUGCCGGGGAGACGGAGAUUUGGAUUCAGAAUCCAUGCGUCUCGGUGUCUGUUCUACUCGUUUGCUUUUGGCUGUAUGAUUUUUGUCAGUGUGUUUUUGGGGCAUACUCCAUUUGUUUGAGAAGCAGAGGAGGAGAAGCUUCAACAGUUUACUUGACUUCGAGUGUCCCUUUCAGUGAUCCAGUCAAUGCCGGGCGUCCACGACGGAUCAAUAAUAGGAAGGAGGUGGAAAGAAAGGGUUAGUGGAGUGCCAAGUGCUGUGUUUUUGGCUGCUACGGUACUACUAACACUCUCCAUUCAAAGAGUGGAUCAUUUGUGGACAUGGGUUCAUAAAACUAUCACAAGGAUGAAGGAUCUUAUGUGCCUAAUCCAAACAUCUUGAAACUAUAAGUAGACCAUUUUAAACUAGGAUAUAAGUAUAUCGUAGUAGGGGCGGAUCUAGGAGGAAAAUUUAGUAGGGGCCUGACUGCUAGACCAUCAUCGCAUACCUUGUUUUGCUUGCUGCUGCCAAGUGCCAAUUUUCUGAUGUUGCCGGUUGCCGGCUGCAGCGCGGGCCCUGGCCCUCGCCGCCCAACCGCCGGACGCCCUCGGCCGGCGGCCCUCAGCGCUCCACCAUCGCUCUACUUACUAGUCGCAACAGCGCUCGAUGGAUGCGUGGGGAAUUGGUAGUUUUGGGCUUGCGGCUGUGGGCUAACUAAGUCUUAAAGCCCAAUAAGCGCAGAAAGUAAUUUCCGCAUCUCCUCGAGAGCACGCUUUAAUUCACUCUACAUUAUACAUUUACUGGAUGCCCAGACGUUGCUACGGUGAAAUACUAAUUAUAUUCUUAAAACUUCUAAAAAAUUUUGUUAGUAAUACCACUACAUUUUUAUUGCAUUUAAUGGAUCUCUAUAUGUUUGCAAAGAAAACAACUAAAUUUUGAUUACGAACAUAUUUUUUUCUAAACUAUUGUAUACCUAAUAAUAAAAGGAACGUGGUUAUAUUUGUUGGAACAUACGGUAGAGGCAACGUGUUAACAUAAUUUAAAAAAUGCAUAUAAAUGCAAUAAAAAUCAAUCGUGUUUCUCGAGGACCUAAAUGCAAAACCGGUCUUAUCUUCUUCAAUCUCAGGAUUGAAGGGACCCUAGCGCCGGCUAGGCUUGGCGCGGCGGUGGCAGCCAGGCGCACAACCAGGGCGUGGGGCAGCGGUGGCCUGGGAGGCGGGGAGCAUGGGAGCGCGAGGCGUUGUGCGGCGGCGGCAUAGGUGAGCAUGUGGCAGGAGGUGGCGGCGCGCAGCGCGGCGGUGGAACGAGCGGCUAUUUUUCCCCUUUAACCCCCUCCUUUCCCUCCUUUUUCCACCCGAGCCCCCCUAUCUUUAGUAUUUUGACUGUGGGUUGAUUCCAUGAAAGUAUAGAGAUAUUUUUUGCAAAAUUACCACGAUGGACAAAAUAGUCUGGCAGAAGCAUUACUCGCUUUAAUAUUAGACUAGCAGAAAUGCCCAUGCGUUGCUAUGGUUCCUUACUUGCUCUUACGUUAUUAUUCGCUUAUUUCUAAUAUGUUAGCUUCGCUUCAUAAUAUAUUGAUGCGUUGCCUCGCCGUCACCUAAGCGCCGCACAUGUUGCCGUCCUCGUCGUCAAGAACUUAUAUAGGAGUACCUUGUCCAAACUGAAUUGCUUUGAUUCAUUUUAAAUAGAAACGGUGUAUAUUUAGCUCCAGUAGCCGCCUGCACCAUGGAAUGAAAAAUAACUCAUGAGCCCAAAUAAUAUGCUGAAACAAGCUUUUCAAUUUCGCAAGAAACUGUACCAUACUUUCUCUUUAUAUUUAGGGAUAAUUCAAUAAGACAGAAUGUUAUUUGACCAAGAUCAUUAUUCUCACUGAACUUUCUUAAGAGAUAACAAAGCACUGGAAACAUAGAUCAUCAGCUCAGUGAGAUGAUGGAUUUGUUGAACUGCUAUGCAUACCGUACUGGUCCUUCCAUGCAAAGAAACUCUAUCUCGAUGACAAAGCUCCUUGUAAGCUCACACAAAACCGUGUUUCAGCUGCUUGUUAGUUAGAAAAGUUCCUGAAUAUGUGCAAAAUAUUUGUUAGUUAGAAACUGUUUCAAGAAAAUUUUGUUCGAUAGAGUUAAGUGACAGUUGGUGCCAUCAUUCCGUAACUUCCACAUGCUUCGUGCACAAUCUGAUCAGUAUGAAGAAAUAAACAGAAACUAUUGGUAGAAAGUACGUCCGUAAUUUUGUAGUUGCUCCAGGUUUGGAGUUAUUGCUACAGAUAAAUAAUAUGAUCAUGCCACAAACAAUCAAGGUGAAAGAAGAAAUAUGACAAGCUUAUACCAAACCAAACUUGGAAGCAGGGAUCCAAAAUCUAUGAAAUUUGAUGUGUAUGAGCAUAAUUUACAUGCCCCAAACAACUGUAGGCAUCCCUGGAAGGUGGAAUCACCUGCACCAAGUGGUGUUCAGGAAUUUGUUCACUUCCUUCGACGCUUACAGUAGCAGCGCGUUGGUGCUGCUGCAUCAAGCAUGGCAAAGAGAGUUCAGAGUUGCUAUUGCCAACAAUUGUGCCAAUUAUCUGCUCCCAUGUAAUCAAAAUAGAGAAAGGUGUGUCAGAUAUAAAAAAUAAGAAAAUACUAAAUUCCAAUGGGUAAUUUUCAUCUGGCAUAUGCAGUGCUAUCAGAAAAAAAAAAUCAGGAAUAUAGCUGAUUUAAAUGGCAAAACCAUGAAUUGGAUCAUCCAAAUCAUGGAAUGACCUGAUGAAAUAACAAAUCAAUGCUACGAUUAAUCCAUUCCAUGAACCAAUAAGUAUUCCUAAAUGACAACCGUGCAGAUUAUAGAGGCAUAAUAGCAAACAUUAACCACACACCACAUGCGGGUGAUUCCGUGAACAAUUCAAUCUGUACAUUAACAGCCAGUUUCAUGCAAGAGGGGGAGGGGGCAUCGGAGUACCUCGGACGACACGGAGCAGGCUGGCGUUGGACAAGCGAGGCAACUGAGGAGGAGGUUGAGUGAGCGGAGCCUCUUGUGUGCCCUGCUUAUCAGCAUGAGGAGGGCCUUGCCCGUGAUCCGGUGGGUGGUGGCUGAGCGGUGCUCCACGGGGAGGCGCUGCUACGGCGGUUCCCCUGUCGCGGAGGAUGCGGCACACGCGCGCGCAGCCGCAUGUAGCCCGGCACUAGGAGCAGAUGGGAAGCGGAGGUGCGCUGGCAGUGGGCAGAUGGGGAGGAGAGAUGGGGAGGAGAGAUGGAUGAAGAGAAUGGGGGACAUCCAGAUGCAAAUCCUCCGCUCCAUCACCAGCUUCCCCAUCUCCUCCUUCUUCCCUGCGGUCAUCAAGAAGCUCUUCCGUAGACGGUGGGAGUCGUCCGCCAAGCGUCCGGCCGACCUCGUCGCCGAGCAGCGCGGGGCAGCGGCGGGCGCCCAAACCCCUCUGUCGCCUCUGUUUUGAAGAAAGAAGAAGCGUUUUCCCCUUUAACCCCCUCCCUUCUCUCCUUUUUCCACCCGAGCCCCCCUCUCUUUAGAAUAUGGACGCAUUUGGACUGCGGGUUGAUUACUUUAAAGUUGAGGGGGGUUUUUUACAAAAUAAUCACGACGGACGAAAAAAAUUGGCAGAGGCGUUGCUUGCUUUAAUAAUAGGUAUAGAUAUAGAUAAAGAUAAAGAUAUAUCUCACUCUUCGGAGUCUAGUGAGGGAAAAAAAUGGCUAACAAAUGAAGGCGGGAAAUUCUUAGUUCAUAGCAUUCUAGCUUAAGAUCCACACGCUUGCAUCAUGAGCCUGAUUUCAAUCAAUUAUUUGAAAUUAUUACGAUUGUGUGCAUGGAGCGAGGAAAAUAAAUAAUUCCUAGCCAUGAUGUUUUGAUGGAAACCCGGGAUCCCGACAUGUGUUUCUCCGAAAUUGAUCAGAGCCUGAUUUUGGAUAUGAAUCUAUUCCCACGAAUCCCACCUCUAUGCAUAAGUAACCUAAAUGGUAAGGCAAACAUUUUUUUUAGAUCAACCUACUAUAUCUGCAUGGUAGACAUGUACAACCAAAGGUUACAAAAAGUUCUUACUUAGACUCUAGUCCUCAACAACGAGGAGCUCAAAACACGAGAAAGAAAACUCUAAGAUAAAGAAAAUAAUUAGAAGAUUAAGAUUCAUUCUUCUUCUUCUUCAUCCAUGCUUCGUCCUUGCGUUGUCUUCGUGCUCAUCAUGCCAUCACAUAUUUCGUCUGCUUAGAAGGACUUGGAAUAUUUGUCUUUUAUCGCUCGUACAACAGACUUCGUCUUUAAGUAACGAAGGUCAGGCCAAAGGACUUCCAAGACGACGCUUCCAAGAAGGACACGACGUCGAGUUGACGUCGCCGCCUAUCCGGCAAGCUGGAUUAAGGGUUUCACUUAGUAGAUCAUUAAUAUUGCAGAGAGCGUCACAGCAAACACCUCAACGGAGAAAAAUGAUGCCCAAUGGACACCGUAGGUACUAACACCGAUACUAAUUGGGGAAAGUUUUCGCUCGUAACUCCCCACGUCAUCACCCAACAAGAAAUUUGCGGGAUGUUCUUGUGGUCAAACCUUCCGAACCAUCCCGCGUAGUGGAGCUGACACCACCAGUCACCAGAAGGCACGGAAGACGCAAAGGCUGCCGUGCGCCGAUCGCGGACGCCGGUCACUGCCGAGUAGGGGCUGCUCUGGGCCGCCGCCGCCACAGCCAGUAGGUCGAGGACGCUGGCCACAUGAGUAUGGCGCAGCAAGACUCCUCCUCCUCCACCGAGCAGGGCCAACGCCCAGCCGCCGCCGCUGCCACCGUCAACGCCAGCGCCGUCCACGCCAGGCCCGGCCCGGUGCGCUGCCGCGUCGGGGCCGCUUGCCGGCCGCGCCGAGUAGCGGCCGCCUAGAGCCGCCGUCACCACAGCCAGCAGGCCCCGGGCCGCCAGCCGCCACCGAGCAGGGGCCACCCCGGGCCGCCGCCUCCAUAGCCAGCAGAUUCCGGUGCCUUGGUCAGCAACCGCGCCGAUGAAGGCAUGACCGUGCCCGGGCAGACCCGGGCCACCGCCACCAGGAUCUGCACCGCCACCGACGGAACCGGCAGCCACCGACGUUGGGGAAAAGAGGACUCCGAGCAACUGGGGGAGAGGGAAAGGGAGAAAGGAGAUGGGGGAGGGGAAGGGGCUGUGGAAGGGGGCCGCCGCCACCGCCGCGGUGGGCGGCGGCGACGGCCGGCUGGGUCGCUGGUUUGGGGGCCGAGGGGCGGCGGGAUGCGUCGCCCCCGAGCCGGACGACGCGAGGGCCGGCGGAAAAAAAAGAAUCCCCCGGCAAGGCAAACUAUGCAGCACACUACAACUACAACCUGCCAAAAAGAGAGAAAAUUUCCAAAACACUGAAACGGGAGCGAAUGGAAGACCUGGUCAAGUCUAGUGCAUCAGUACAGAGAACACACACACACACAUGGAAUUAGAUGUCAGGGUCAAACCGGUCACAGCUGAAGCAUGAGCAACCUGCAAAGUCCCUGCAACAGGUUCAUUUCAUCCUGCAGGCAAUCUCACGAUGUCAUCUGACCCCCCUUCCUAACCUCCACCAACAAACAAUGGUGACCAAAAUUAAAGCACCAGAUUCCCUCCUAAACAACCUUCAAAACCACUACUUAAACCCCCCCGCCAUUGAAAUGCCGCUAAAAGCAUAAUCUCCCUGCUGGCCUCGAAAAGCAAAAAAACACCGAGAAGCCAUCACAAUAUUCUCCUGGACCUCCGAAGAAAAAACUACCGCGAUGGACAUCAAGAAGAGAUCCUCAUCGCCAUUGCUUUCCCUGCUUCUGCUUCUCAUCAUUGCCGCGGACAGCGCCGCGGCGCAGGUGUUCUGCCGGUCGCAGUUCAACCUGGCCAACGAGGCCUGCAGCCUGCGCAACUUCGGCGGGCCCAACCCGGCGCGGCCGCUGGAGCUCCACAGCAACAGCUCCUCGGCGGCGUCCUACGAGCUGCAGGCGGAGCACCACGACCACCACGAGCACCACCACGAGCACGAGCACGAGCACGAGCGGGAGCACACCGCCCACAGCCGGCGGCACGGCCUCGGGCACGGUGGCCGCGACCCCUACGACACCGCCUGCUGCCGCCGCCUCAUGGGCAUCGACAACGCCUGCAUCUGCCAGGCCAUGUCCUUCCUCCCGGUGUUCAUGAGCAAGGUCAAGCACGCCAUCAAGCUCAGCCCCGUCCCCGGCUGCGACGUCUCCUUCGAGUGCGGCGCCAUCUGAUCAACUCACGGCGGCCGGCCAUGGUGGCGGUCACUUUUGAUACAAAAUAAACUGUUUCUUGGAUAUAGUGACAACUGUGCUUCAUCUGCAUUUUGAAUUAGAGUGUGUGGUAGCUUUAGAGAUAUAUGUAGUUCGUUCGCUAUAUAUACUGCAUUGGGAAAAAUCAUGCAUAAUAUUCUCUCGAAGUAAUGUUCUUGGAUAUAGUGACAACUGUGCUUCAGAUAGCUUGCAGCGCAUGGUGUUGCAGAGAUGCACAAACUCUUCGUCUUGUCACAACUUCAACUUGUAAUGGCAAUAUACAAACCUUUUUUUAAUCCAAAUUCAGCAGCUCUCAGAUCAAAAGACUGAAGCCAAAGACAACAUGUGACAAAAAAAAAAAAAAACAGAUGAAUAACUAAUCUCAGCAUGAUCGUAUAACUAUUAAGAAUCCAGUUUCCAUCGGCUCAAAACUAUACACACGCAUAUAUUAAAAGCAGAAACCCAACUUUGGUUUACCAACAAAAGUUCCGUUGGGGACUAGAGCCAAAACAAUAUGAACAAGCACAACCAGAAGGCUGUAGACAUGCACAGAUGAUGAAUCAGGAUCAGCUCUGAAAUUAGAAUAUGUACAUAUUGCUGAAAGUUUGUUGCAUAUUAGCACACGCAGGCAAGUUACUCUACGGACUGUACAGUUCCCGACAAAAUUUGGAGGUCAAUCUGUUUCUAGAUUCCAUCAAUAUGGACAGAGUCAUCCACUGACAGACUGAAAUCUGAACCCAUUCCAGCAUUAAGAGUUUCAGACAACUUGGAGCAGGUUUCUGCAGAAUGCAGCACCAUCAAGAGCAGGUUUUCGCAGAUUAGAACACCACGAGCAGGUUUCAUUGCAACCUCACAGUAACUCGAGUUCAUGUUCCAUUGAAGCGAAGUCGAACCCACUCCAAUCAAGCUCUGCAUCCAGGUCGAAUUCUGGGUCCUUGAUGGGAAGAGGCAGGUGGCUAAUGUCAGCCAGGCCAAUAUAGUCAUCAUCCAGAGGUUUGUAUGUAGCGGUAAUAAAAUCUCUGACUGUGAACAUAUCUUGCCUGGUGAAACCAUCAGGUGGGAAUUCAUCAGCCGGGCUGUCAGAGUCACUGGCUUGAUGCUCAUCUUUCGGGUUUAGCAUGACAUCCUCUGAAAUCUCAAGAGCUUUGGGGGAGAAAUUCAGUAAGCUUUCAUCCAUAGGCUCACGGUGCAUCUCCAUUAAUGGUCCUACUCUGUUCUGAGCUUCUUGUGCCUUCUGCUCGCAUGAUACAGAUGAAGAAACGCAGGAAACCAAGGAUGAGUUGGAGGCUGCAUGUUCUGACAUGGGCGGCUCAGCUUUCAUGGCCAGCAUCUCUACAUGAAACUGGUUCCAUUUUGCCUGAUACGCCGCAGCAGCCUCCUCCUCAGUGUCAUGUAAACUGUACUCCCUUUUCUUUGUCAAAGGAUUGCGUAUCUCUGCUUGCCAGCGACCUGAGUCCCGCAGGCGCACACCACGGUACCUGCUCGAUGGUACCUUCCUCUCUGGACCAUUCAGAUCCUUUAUUCCACAUGGCAUGAUGGGUCUUAGAGGCUGUGAGGUUUUAUAUUUCUUUACAGGAACUAGCACCUCUCUUAUAAUUUUCUUUUCUUUCUUUGGGUUCUCAUCAUUUUCAUCACCGGAGGAGUCGGUUGCAUCAGGAUCAGAGCAGAAAAUGCGAACCUUCCGCAUAGGGGGCAUCUUCCUGGACCGCAACAUCUUCCCAAGCAACAGCAAUCUGCAUAUAUGCCCAGUGAAAUCAUCAAAUAUGCUAACACAGGGUUACUAUCACACAAUGUGAAAGAGAGGAUGCAUCCACCUACCAAGCAAGACGUAUCUACAGCUGCAGCACCGAAUCUACCAAAUCAGAAAGAGGAUUCUCUCUUUAACUUCUUAACAGAAUUGGAGGAAGGGAGAUUAGUUUUCUUCACUGCAGAUGUUUCAGGAGAUGAAAUUCAGGCUGACUGUUUGAAUUAGGAGGGUUGACAAAUUCAAUCCGCCCAGACCAAACCUGCUAGCAUUUAAAUCAGACAAGAUUGUAAGACAAUGGCUCAUCCACAUUAAGAGAAGGGAAAUAGCAGAUACUCAUUCACACUUUAUUUGUUCCAAGUAUUAUUUCCUUGUAGCUUUACACUUACCAAGAUUGAUUGUGAUUUGGGGGAAGAAUCUUCAACUCGUACUGCUUCAGGUACAAGACAGUACGAAGCAAGGUUCUAAAUGCAGGAACCCAGAGUACUUCACCCCAAAUCCAAAUCUGAAACCAAUGUACAUUACUAUUAAAAAAAACUUUCACUGAAAUACGAACACUACUUGAAUAGUCUCGCCAUACGUUAGCAAACAGAUAUGAACACCAUCUUUGCAUAAACUAAUGAGAUAAUAUUAUGAUGUUCACAUAGAACACCGAGAUCAGUUUUUGUGCAGCUCAACACUGAAAUCAGAACAGGCACAACGACAUUGUUAACUCCAAAUUUCGUACACGAGCAAAACUAAUCUGAGUAGACUGAACAAGCAGGGAGUUAUUUUAUUGCAAUAACAUGAGAACAGGUGGUCAGUUGAGUCAUGGCAACCAACAAAAUGUUUGAUGCUUUACAUUAAACAAGCAAGCAUCCAUAACUGUUAAAUCUUGGAAACUACCAACACAGCAGCAGCAACUGAAGACAGAAGUACCGUCAGACAGGUAAACAACAGAAACCUUCGAACUUUAGCACCUAUACACGGAAGAUUAACAGAGUUUGAUUCAUAGGAAACUAAGAGGUUACCAUGACUGGACUACAACACAGAACGAAAUCUUCGGAACAACUUAGUCGUAACUCAAUCAGGCAUGUGAAAAAAAGUUACCUGGAGACCCUGAAGUGCCUGCGGUCUCUGGCGCCCCUCUGCCAAGGCUGGAGGAGAAGGGAGCGAGAGGAGGCUGGCAGUGACGGGAGCUCAGAACCAUGGAGCUGCGGCAGGGCAGGCGACAUAAACCAACAGCUCGCGCGUGCCGUACGGCGAGGGAAGCUCCACUCCUGCUCUCUGCUGGUCGUCGCACAAACACCGAUAACAAUGCAUCAGAUCCCAACCGAGAAGUGGAACUGUGAAAUCAGAGAUAAGGACCCAAAGGGGGAACAAAGAUUCCAUCUUUUCCGCUAACAGAUAUAGGAAAGAAACAGAACAAUCUCGGAACCGGAGUAAUGCACAAGGAAAAUAGCCGGAAAAAAGGAAAAAAAAGAGAUCGAAAUCAUACCGAACAACCGAGAAUCCUACCGGAUUACCCGACCGAAUUACGCGAGAAAUAGAAGGGGGGAAAUGCAAUCUUUCCCGGAACAAGAAACAGAGCAGGCGGCGAGAGAAGAGAUCAACCGAGACCCGAUACCCCAUAUCCCAGGCAGAGGCACAAUCAAUCUUGGAUUCGACACGCCACUUACACGAGCGGGCGUGCGACGGCGACCUCCGGAGCCCGGGCCGGGGAACUGAUGAUUGGGGCGGUGGAGCCGGCGGAAUUGGGGCAAAUCAGGGGGAGAAAGCAGCUCGGAGCUUUGAUCCGGAGGGCGUGCCGGGCGGGAUCGGAAGGGACGGCUUUGGAUUCUUGAUUUCUCCGGGAGGGGAGGAGGUGGACGGUGACGACGGACGAGGGUUUUAAUGGAGGGCGGAGGGAGAUGACGGGACGUUGGGAGACGAAACGUGUGAGCAGGCGCAACGGCACCUAGUUCAUAGGCAGGGUACUAGCGCCAGUGAUAGCGGUGGUGGAUUUUUGGAUUUCUUUUUUUUAUUUUAUUUUCCCUCCCUCAGUUCGUUUUAGGUUUCCUAGAUGCAUAGGUAUAAUAUAGAUGCAUAAUAAUAUUUAUAUAUCUAGAAAAAAUAAAACGAUCUGCAAUUUGGAACGGAAGUAGUACCUUCAAAGUAUUUUGCAACAUUUGACAAAAAUGAAGUUACGGUAUUUUAGGGAUUGAUUGACAUGGCCCACGAGGUAAAACAUUCGCCAGCAACUUCAAUGAAAAUAUAUACUAUUGAAAAUAGAAAGACUGAAAAAUACUAUUUUGUGAAUAUUAUUUAAAUAAUAUACUUGUACUAUAAAUAGUCAAAAUGCCAUAUAUGGAAGAUCGUGUCCAUGGCCAAAGGUUUAUUUGGGAUUUGCAAGUACCAGUACAAUUUUGCACGUUUUAUACUAAUUUAGUAAGCAAACUCAAAAUUGUGCAAAUUAUUUAGUGUUAACCACUUAAUACAUAGAUGGUUUAUUAAAAGCAUCGAAAAUAUUUUCCAUGGGUACUUACCAAAAUUGUCUACUUAGUAUAAGUUCAAAGUUAUUUUAUUUAUUUAUAGACAAAUUAAACUUUGACCGAGGACCUUAAACAAAUUGAUAUAAAUUAAUUAAAAAAAAUCUAAUGACACUAAUGUAAUCUCAUAUUUAACAUGGCCGGUCUUUUGCCUAAGAAAAGUAAACUUGGUCAGUAAUGUUUGACAUUAAGUCAGCAAUGUCAAGGAUUGCAGGAAUUUAGAAAAAAUAAGUAAUUAUAUGUAUGUCGCAAUUGAUGGCAGGAAGCUUGAACACUCCACUAAAAGAAGAAGAAAGCAUGCACAAGGUGGCUCAUUUACAAAGUAAUAGUAACAUAUUUACUUUUGAUUAUAACUUUCUAUCACACAAAAACAUAUGGCGAUGGAACAAUAAUUGUAGGUCAAAGUUUUGUCCUAUGGAAGCAAAAUACUUCUUAUUUUUUGAAAUGGAUCCGAAUAGAAUUUGAAGAAGGGGUUCAACAAAAAAAAAGAUGAGAAAAAAAUGGAAAAGACCAUAGGGCCUCUGUUUCGGUAGGUUCUUGCUUGCCCCGCUUCCAGCAGCACAUUGAUAACCAACAUCAGGUUUUAGUUAGUUUUCUUUUUCUUUUUCAUAUUUGCUAAGAGAAUUUUAGGUAGUUUAUUAGCCUCGUGUCGCUGAAAACUCAGGUUUUUUCUAGUGAGCCAAAAUUGUGUCAAAGGACAAGGGAAUCGUAUCAUGUGAAAACGAAGCGUGUCACGGCAGCGAAGCCAAAACCUGGGGCAGCGGGCUCUGCGCAGCCUCACCAGCUUUCCGUGUUUCGGAAAGCACAAGCAGGCACAAUCGCGUGCGUGCGCGUGCGCGAUCGCCUGAUGACGAGUGUCUCGGAGACGGAGACGACUGCUCGCUGGGUUUCUUGGACUCCACGGUAGCCGCCGGGGUCCACGACGGCCCAUCGCUCGCCACACACACUUGCCACUUCCCUGGGAAUGGGGUCCAAAGCUCCUAUCAUUUUAUGCACGAAUCUACCAGUCCCCGUCAAUUUGAUGAUGUAGCUAAACGGAGCUUUCUUCACCAUUUUGUAUCUCAAAAGAAAAAAUGUUUGUUUUCCUUGUUGGCUCGGAUACUCGUUUCCUGCCUGUCAAAUUCUUUUAGUUUUGACCGUGUUAAAAUUAUUAGCAACGUAAGAUUGUUGCCAAUGGUUAUUAACAACAUAAUUUUGACCCUGGAAGUUAUUUUACCAUCUAUAAUUCUUUAUUUCUCUUAAAUAUUAUUACACUUUGAUGAAUGCCAGGAUUUCACUUUUCAAACAAGUUGCAACUUACAAUCUCUGUCCCCACCCACAUGGUUCCCCACGCCGAGCUCCCACCCAGCCAUGUGAACAAGCGAUGAGGUGGGCAGCACGGGCAAGGCGGAGUAUGGCGGGCGGUGGCUAGGAGGAGGGUGCGGCGGAGGUGGGGGUGUGGCUGGGUGGAGGGUUUUGAUCUGUAAUAUCAACUAUUAUUACCAGAAAGAGAUACAAACAGAUGUUUUAAUCUGUAAACUGGCGUAGUGGUACUUACAUGGAAGACUGGCAGAGCUUCUUUCAAAUACGAAGGUACUGUUGACGCUUUUUUGGGCCAACACACGAACGCACAUGACCGUACGACGCGCGGAGGGGCUUGUUGCAGCACCUCGGCGCAGGCCGGUCUGACCGGUUACAGGGACCGGUCUGACCGGUUGUCGGGCAGGCCGACGGUAGACCUUCGAACGCUCGUCCGGGAAGGAUCCCGUCGGGGCAGGCGCACGCAGGGUUGCUCUAGGAUCGGUAGGCCACCUAGAACGCCUUCGAACGUCGUCGAGACGAAGGAAGAACAACAAGAUGGGGUUGGAAAAGCUAAGACAAAGAGGAAAAGUAAAAGAUGCAAAAAAUAGUAGAUUGAUAUGUUUUUAUCGAUUGGAUCUAACUCAAUCGGCCGUGGCCCUUCAUAUUUAUAGGGAGGGGAGGUCUUGCCCCUUAAGGAGUCGAAAUCCUAACAAAUCUCAUGCAAAAAUACAACUCUAACCCGGUUUACACAGAGCUAGACCGGUCAGACCGGCCUGGGCAACCGGUCUGACCGGGUGCAGAUCUUGCAAAGGUCGUAUCUUCCUCAUCCGAACUCCAAAUCGGAUGUUCUAUAUAUGAAUCUUGAUCUACUCGAUGAGCUCUACACAAUGGUGAAGUUCAAUUUCCAUUUUGGGAAUUUUUCCCAAACCGGUCUGACCGGUUGGGAGACCGGUCUGGACAUGCUUGACCAGAUUUCCCAAGUCCUGCCACUUUUGGGUGUCAACACAUGCCUCCCCUAUUUUCUAACAAAGCUUGCAUGCCAGAAAAUAAUCUCCUGGUCCAAAAGUGUCUAAGGACGAUGAAAAACACAACAUCGGCUAUAUUUUUUCGCUAAGGGCGAUAAUUGUCUUAUCAGCCAUGAACUUGCUCUUGAUUCAAGAAACAACUUGCUUUGGCCUUCAUACCUGCUUGGUAACCACUGACCUUGCUGGUAUAGCCGUUGCUUGCUGCUCCAUUGAUUCUUGCUUCCGCAUUCUUUGCAAUCUCCUUUUUUGGGUGUGAUUCAAGCCUGAGGGAUACCACCUCGGCUGCAACUAUUUUGAAUCUUUCUUGCUGUCUUUCUCACCACCUUUAGUAACAAAGAGUGCACUUUUAACCAGAUUAUUACUAGCAACAACCAGUCUUUGCAAUGAACCAUAAUUUGAAUAUGCAAGAGAAUAUGAAGCAAUGCAUGGUUGCAUAUAAAAACCUUUAGGAUCAGGAGGUGAAUAAUAGCAGGGGUAUGGCCAAGACCAUCACUACUAGGUUUUUGGUCUAAUGCAACGACGGAAAAACGUUGCAAUAUGCCCAAAAUUGAUGCAAUAUCUAGCAAUUGCAACGGCGACUGGUUGGUUGGCAGGCGUAGCAAGUACUGGCAUUGCAAUAGCUCUUUGCAACGUUUUUUGUGGGCCGUUGCAACUUAUGAUAAUUGCCACACACAUUUUCGUUGCAUUAUAGAGUAUAGCAACGGAGGAUUUCGUUGCAUUAGCAUGUAUUGCAACGCAAGCAGUCAUUGCUAUAGUACGUAGUUGCAACGUACAAACUCUGUGGUAAUAUGGUAUUUCGCAAUGAUUUACAUAGUGGCAAUAGAAUAUAUUGCCACGGAAAUUUGACGUUGUGACAUAUCCUAUGACAACUAAAUUUCUUUUGUGGAAAUAAACUAUAUUGCAACGAAAACUAUUACGUGGGGACUGUUUCUAUGGCAACACAACUGCUUUCGUGGCAAUGACUUAUAUUGCCACGGAAACAUGUUUGGUGGCGAUAAUUCGGUUUGCAACGGAAAAUAUUACGUUGUGGCAGAUCAUAUGGCAACACAUUUGGUUUCGUCGAAAUAAACUAUAUUGCCAUGGAAACAUAUGUGGUGGCAAUAAUUUGUUUUGCAACGGACAAUAUUUAGAAGCAAGAUGAUAUGUUGCAACGAAUUAGCGGUGAAUGUUAUUAUGUAUUAUUGCAACUUUUAUCUUCCGUGGCAAUAAGUUGUUGUGCAAUUGAAAGUAUAUAGAUGCAAUAAAAGAUGUAGCAACGAACUGGAGUUGCUGCAAUUAUUUGUUUUUGCAACAGGUGGAUGUAUUUCUUUUCGCAACUGGAAGAUGUUUUUCGCAACGGAUUGCAUUUUAUAUAUUUGUAUAUCGAAUCGUUUGUGCAAUGAAUUGAUUUCACCAAAAUAUGAAUUGCAUCAUCAUGAAUAUAAAACCAAGCCAUCUCGACAUUCAUAAAGUCAAAGUGCCAAAUACAUAUUCCAAAUUAAAAAUAGUUUAUAACUAGUGAUGGUAUAUCAACAAUACUAAAUCCUUGUAAUGUAGGCUACAGGAAUCAUGCAAUACAUUAAUUUUCCUUGUGUCAACCAUGUCAUGGCUCUGAGUCCAUGCGAUCCAUUGAAGAAGAAUGUUCUUGUCUAAAAAAAAAACAAUGCAGUGCAUCAGCAAAAGGGUCUCAUAGUGCAGUAGUAUGUACUAAACAAACGUGAUCUUGGUAAUUUGUCUUGUGCUUGUGGACACGUGGUCUGGCACAGAGCAUAUUAUUCGCACACUGGAGACUGCUCUAAGUUUAGUGAUGCACUUAAACAUAGAUUAUAAAUCAGGUUUACUUCUGCAUACCUGUUGGCUUCUUGUGCGCACAUGUUUUGUAGCAGCAUUUAGUAGUUGCCGUGUACUAAUAUAUGCUUCUGCCACAUUGUUGCUUUUGCUAUUUUGAAAAAGACCUCGAGACACUAUACUAGUUCUAUGUUUGCUAGCAUUUUUCUCAACUGUUGGCGUAGCAUCACUUGGGAUGAUGCUCCUUGGGUCAGUCUGCAUAGGAAAAACAGGUGGAAGUAAUUUAGGGACAAAACACAUUCCAAUAUGCUAAUUUGUGUAACAAAUAUCCAAAUUACCUUUACCUGUAGUAAUGGGGUUUCUCUCUGUUCAACAAACUUUGAUAGCAUCUCUUUCAUGAUAUCUUCCCUAAGUGCUUGCCUUUUGUUAUUUUCCUCUUCUUGAAUCUGUAGCAAUUUUUCUUCCAAUAUCCUUUCCCUUUCAGCCUUUUCAUUUGCAAGUUGUUCUUCUACCUUGUCAACCUUUUGUUGGAGCGCAUUAUUUUUCUGGUUGGCCACUUCUUUAGCACGGGCUUGCUCUUGGAUUUGAGCUUUCAGCAAUUCACUGCGUGAUGGAGUUUUAGACAAGUAACCAUGACCAUGAAUUCUGUGGGUUUUGCAUCCUGUACUUUGCUUGUAGCAUAUUUGGAAAACAUUGUUUUCCUCUGCAGUGGAGAUAGGAUUUGUACAUUGCGUUCUCUCUUGGAAAGCCUUAGUCAUGCAUUGUCCUAAUUUAAACAACAACAUUGGUGUCGGUAUUGAACAUUAAAAAUAAUAAGAAUAAUGUUGUUAACAGUGAACUAUGUAGAUUACUUACAUACAUAGCCUUAGAUGCUUCAUCUGACCAUUGCCCAUUCUUCAUAUGAGUACUCAACCAAAGAUUUAAAUUCCUUGGUUCUUCUCCUGUAUCCGGGUCUCUCUAAGAUGGCAUGAAUGAAGCACAUUAGCUUGACAUGUAUGCAAAAGACCGUACCAUACAACAUUACCUGCUCAUGGCUCAUGUUGGAAAAUGAUUUGGACCCCAUGGCAUGGUUUGUCUUUGCUUCUUUACGGUUCUUGGAGUUCUGGUUGCUAGCUUUCUGUACAUGGUGUAAGUAAAAAAGUACAUCAGUAGUGCAUUGAUGAAACUAGUAAUAAAUACAUGGGAUAUAUGGAAGGACGAAAAGGAAAUGCUAUGAGACCUUGAAAUUUGGAGAUCCAAAAUACAAGAUAAGAUAGUGCCAUUCUGCAAUGUCAAGGUCUUCUGGCUUGUGUUUCAUUCUUGUUGCGUAACUGUCGUACGCCUUGUACGUGGCACUGAGUGAUGAUCUCCAUCCUUUGUAUCUCACCAUCGCGAUGGCCCAAAUCUUUUCCUUUUCAUCAUCAACGUCUACAAGCUCCCACCUAUUCUGUUUAUGUGAGAACACAUUUAGACGGAGAAGUAUUUUGCUAUUUGACGAUUAUUAUAGCAAUCAUGCAGCAGAAUUAAACAUCGUACGUACCAGUAUGUCGGAUGCUAUAGAAUUUUUCACAUUUUCAUGUAUGUCUUUCCAUUUGUUGACUCCAAUAAGUGGAGCCCUUUUCCUUGUAAACAUUACAAUUUCAUCCACAAAUGACCAAGCAUUAGGGCCUACGGGACCUCCCAGCUUUGUGGAAAAUUCGAUUUUAAGUUUCUGUGAGCCGCUCCUUAUCCUCUUUAUGGCUGCUGAUAAACCCUUGAGGGCACCAUGUCCUCCUUGCUUGCGCCCUUCACUGGAGUCUCCUAUGAAUCCAUUAAGUAAAAAAUGGUCAGAUAAUUGCAGCAAUGUAGAUUAGAUUAAAAUAAAUUUGCAAUGCAUAGCACACCUUUUCUCACUUUUUUGUCACGCCGAGCAUGAGUUGGCCUAUCUGAUAUGGUGCUGAUUGCAUGGCUGCAAGACCUUCGUCAUCAGGAAGGUUUUGAACUUCAUCAUUGUCAUCUUGAUCUAAAUAAGAUACUGCAUAUCAUACAAUGGAUCCACAUCAGUCUAUACAUUUUUUGUUCACAAGUAAUAUUAACUUUGAUUGCUGAAUGAAUGAAUAGAAAUUACUAAUGUCUUGAAGAUACUCUUUACGCCUUAACCAUUCUUUAUAUGUCUUGAUGGUUUCAUCCCUGUAAUCAUCUUUAAAUUCUGCACAUAACGAAUAUGUAAGUGCAAUGGAUAAUACAACACAUAGCUUAUGUAAAUUGUGACUGGAGGAAUUGUACCUACCUGUGUCUGGUUCAUCCUGCUGCUGGUUUUGAAGCCAUAUCUUGUAAGCAUCUAUUUGUUCUCCUGUCCUUCAUCCUUCUGUAGUUGUUUCCCUUUGUCACUUCAAGGGAGUUAUAGUUACCUGCAAGUUAGUCUGUUGAUCCCUUGUUAGGAGGAUCCUGAUUUUCCUGUCUUUUGAAUUGCUUUGUAACAUGGCUGGGAUUUGGUGGUCAUAAUCAAGAGGGACGAGGGCUGCUGUGUUCCUGCCACAUCGCUCCUUAUGGUACAAGAAGGCACGUCCAUAGUAGCCAAGCUUUGACUUCAAACAAACCAAGUUAAAACAUGUGAUAUUAGCCCUAUCACAAGUGAACUGGGCAGUUUCAUGACCGGAAGGUGCCCCGAUGCAAUCGAUAAUUACACACCACCUCUCACCAGUGAGUCUGCAAUCAAACUCAUAUGCAAUCAUUCACUGACCAAUGUAAUGUCCUUACUCUUACACAGGAAUAUUAAUCUAUAAAUUCAAUAGAGGACUAUAUAUAACCUUAGCACUAGAAACUAGGCAUGUAUCGAGAUCUUCCAAUUUGAGAUAGGAAUAUAACCCUAGGCAUGUAUCCAGAUAAUCCAAUAUCACAUAGGACUAUAACCCUAUGCAAAAUUUCGAUUGGAUUUGCAAUAGCCUGAGAAAACAUACCUAGUUCGGGGAGGUUCAAACAAAAACUCAUCAGGACCAUCGUCUUCAGUCGCCAUCUGUUGGUCGCCGGUGGUGUGGGGUGGAGUCGGCCUCCUGCCAUCGAAUCCAAUCGCCAUCUGUUGGUCGCCGGCGGUGUGGGGCGGACUCGGCCUCCUGUCGUCGUCUUCAGUCGCCAUCUCGACAAGGAACUGAGAGUCGUCGGGUCGUCACCCCCCUCUCCCCCACAAACGUCAAGGAAACAUGAUUAAUGGCACUGGGAUUUUAGUAGAUGGGGAUUGGUAAAAAUAUAUGGAAGGCUUAUUUCGGCGGGGCAAGGGGGGAAAUUUGGGCAGGGCAAGCGGGAAAAAUUUGGCUGGGGAGGAGGAGGAGGUGUUUUGGUAUAUAUCGACACGUUAUGUUUCAUGCGUGUUUAAUUGGAACAUUUGAGCAAUGUGUUCAAUAUUGAAAUCACUAUGCACAUUGCUUCAUCUAUACAUGUAUAUAUUCACGUGGUGAUUUACAUGGUGAUAGUGUGGCACACAAUGAGCAUAUAUAACUAAAGAUAGUGUGGCACACAAUAAGCUCCCCUUUGGCAUGGCUCAUCCAAAUAAAACGGCUUCACCGGUGAAGCCAAUGCCUGUGAAGCCAAUAAACAUAAGGCAUAUCCCUUAGUGAGAGGGAAAGCAUUAGGAUUGCAUUGGAAAGUAUAUAGAUUAGCGUGGAAUAGAGAUGAACAAUCUAAUGAAACUAAGUUGAAACCAUAAAGUUGAGAUACUUGACUCUCCAAUAUUCUUGGAAUGACUUACAAUUAGGUAAUUUGAAACUCCAAGUUUCUUGGAAUGACUUAUAAUUUGGUCAAAGUUGAGAUACUUGACUCUCCAAGAUUCUUGGAAUGACUUACAAUUUGGUCAAACUUGAGAUACUUGACUCUCCAAGAUGGAAUGACUUAUAAGGCAUAUUUUUGUCGUUUGGGCUCGUGCUCCCAAGGCAUAUUUGACCAUCUUGAUCUAUUAGUGUAUAGUAAAAUUAAAUAGUUUGCAAUAAUAGACAACUCACGGUAUAAUUUGUCUGUAUUGCUGUCCCUAUGUGACUUAUAUAGACAACAGUCACUUAAACUGUUGAACGUGCCCUAAUUUGGUCAAACUCCAAGUUUCUUGGAAUGAGUUAUACAUAGAGUCAACCCAUAUAUACGCAAGCUCAUGAUUUUUAGGAUCACAUGCGCGCAGCAAAAUGAAGGUUUUCUAGCAAACUUGUCUUGGGCCAGAUGCUUGUUGUGGGUCCGGCUCCACCUGUCACUGCCUAAUGUAGUGUGGCAGUAGCCCCAAGGAGUUGGCAGGCUCAGCGAUGCACAUGUGCACAAUCCAGCGUCAAAGAUCUUCUCGUCGACACUGUGCCAUUGCGCUGCAUGUGUCAGCCAGUGUCACUGGCUCUGUGGUACUGCGCCCAAGCCAUGAUUAUGUCGCGCGUGCAGGUUCCCCAUGCAUACCCCAUUUAACACAGUAGUUGAGGCCCUGCCUUGCGCCGUUUCGUGCCGUCCAGCUGCCCUUUAACCGGUCCUUCCGCUGCUCUGUCCUUUUGUUUCCGCAGUCAAGAGGCGUCUCAUCUCCCGGCGUGCGGUUGCGUUAAUGCUUUGUCUCUCAUGCACGCACGCAUAUAUAAGGGCCCUCGUGCAACAAGCCCUCUGCACCCUCCCGCAACAAGCCGUCGCCACCAUGCCUCACCGCUUGAGGACUACUUGGGCCAUGCUCAACCCUUCGUCCUCCGCUCCUCGCUCCCUAACGAUGCGGCCUCUCCCGCCAUCAUCCGAUGAUUCGGACCGCUCCUCCUCCCCACCUUGCUCGACGCCGCUGCCGCCUCCCCCGCCGUCGUCUGACUCAUCGGACCUCAAGGUCAACCUCAAGGACAAUCCGGAUUGGGAGAGCGAUUCGGAAGAGGAGGAUUUGGUGAUGGCACAGCAGGGGCCAUGUCCGGAGGAGGUUGCCAUCCUCAACUCCUUGGAGACGGCGCGGCAAGAAGAGGAGGACCGGCGCCUGUGCGCCAUCACAAGAAAGGAGACUGAGGACUACAUCCUCAGGCGCACUCUCGAGAUCUCCACCGCAGAAGUGGAGCACGCCGCCUGGAGGGAGGAUCAACGGGUGGCGAUGGAGGUGGAACAUUGCCGGCGCGUGGGUGCAAGGAAAGAACGGGAGGAGGCGGUGGCGGUUAAGGAGUGGAAGGGGCACAAGAACUAGUUUAUAUGUAAAUGUUGUCAAUGGAAUGAACUGGUCUUUUGUUUCGGUUGUCGAACUUGUUCUUUUUAUGUUUUAACGAUAGUGGUAAUGGUAAUCAGUUAGUAGUUUUAUCUUGUUCUUGGAGUUUUUGCCAAUGUUACCAGUUAGCAUAGUAACCUAAAAACACGGUGCAAAGGAUACAACACUCACUUGAGUAGGAGUAGGUAAUAGCAGAAGGUAGCUAGUGGAAUCAAUGUAAAUGUGGCGAUCAACAUCAAGUCACAUCAGUCACCCAACCCAUUUUCACGUACACAUCUAGUACUCACUUACUGCUGAAGCGGCACAUCUACACAAGCAGCUUAAAACCAAAUGCGCAUCUACACACAAGAAGAGACCCCGGAGACAGUGGCAUGUAAUCAUACGUAGUCACAUGUAAUCAUAUGUUUCACAAGUCUUAACUAAAAUUAUUGGGAAUUUGGUAGGUUCUACAUUGUUCGUUAAUCUAAAAAAAAUGCACAAUAUAUGUAGUAAAAAAAUGAAAGGUAAAAAAGGGACCACUGCCGAAGGGGGCCCGAUGAGGCUCAACCUCAUAGGGAGCCCAAUAGAAGGCUCAACCACAGAGGGAGCCCAACCGAGCCCACCAAGAGCAAGUAGUCAAGUAGCGAAUUAGGUGGCGUAUCAGAUGGUAAGUCAGAGGAUUUCAAUGGUGCUUGUGCGCCUCCCUUUUGAAGUAUGGCAAGGAGCUUCUUUGUGAGCGAGGUGGUACUAAAAAUUGUGGCCAUGGACUCUGGCGCAACAGAUUUCGUAUGUGGGCUGGCCCAUUAUGAAUUCUUCCCCGCUCCCCCAUCUCGCUCGCUUCUUCCCACAUAAGGCCCCAAAUUGCUCUGCCCCGAGCUCCUGCGCCGGCCGCCGCUCUUCUGCCGCACCGAGAUCAAGCGCCGCCUUCCGGUGAACUUGGGAUCCGACGCCGCCUUCUGGUCAAUGGGUAGGUCACCGGCCGGCGGGGAACGGGUAGGUUGCCAUAUCCCAAAUCUUCAGUUUAUUAUAUUGUCAGAUUCACCGUUGAUUGCAAAGAACUACAAAUUAUGAAAGUUAUACAAAAAACACAUCUGCCGCUCCGUCCACAGUAGAAUUCACAGGCGCUAUGUAUCCAUCAUCGAUGUAGUCGUCCGUGUCAUCUUCUUCAUCUUCAUUUUCUAAAUCAAUAGUUGUUGGUUCGGGUACAGACUCAGCAAGAGCCUUUUCAAUAACAGUUGCGUCACUGGUGACACCUUCAAUGCCAGUCCUAGUCCAAUUUAUUAAAUCUUCAUGUGUGCCCGAUUCGAUCAUAUCUCGAGCUCCGGCAUCGAGUGAAUCAACAUCAAUUUCUUCCGGGUUGUCUAAUUCUGGCAUGAAGAACACAUUUCUGGGGUUCAUUCUAAUAACAGUGCUCCAAUCUUGUUUCUUUGAACCUUUCACAUAAAACACUUGCUGAGCCUGUGUCCCCAAAAUGUAAGGUUCAUUUAAAUAUCGCAAUCGAGUUGUAUCGAUAUCUAUAAUACCAUAUUGAUCCUUGUUGAAUCCUCUACAUUUGCUCCUACUGGCAGCACACACAUCGUACCAGUCACAUUGAAAUAGGAUGACUUCUUUUGUGUCGGGAAAUCUAGUGCAUAAAUUUUUUUGACCACACCAUACCAGUCGAUGUUGCCAAUAGUAGGAUCACCAUUCACAACAACACCAGAAUUUUGUGUAGUCAGAUUCUUCUCUACAUGAGCAGUUCUGAACAGAAAUCCAUUGAUGAAGCACCUAUUGAAAACACGUGCCCGAUGGUCUGGUCCCUGAGAAAGUGCAUACAUGGCAUCACUUUUUUUUCUGUCUGCAUAAAAUAUGUUCAUCUGAAAGAAGUAUAAAAGAACAAUGUAUAAGUACAUGAGCACUGAAAGUAAUAAAACCUGUGAGGAAAUUGUACUUCACCUUAUGCUCGAACCAGCCUACAAAUUGUUUUGUAUGACAUUGUUCAACAUUCCUGACACACUGUUUUCUGAGUAAAUCCUUAUGCAUACUACAGUAACGGGCAAAAGGGGGGGGGAAUACAAAGUCAACAAAAAAAACAUGUAUGUGCAUACUCCAAUGUAAGUAAAUUAAAGUUACUACUUACUUGGCCCAUGGAAUAACCUCAUCACAAUUUGUUAAUAUCCAGUGCCUCAUCCGCUGCAUAUCCAGCUUAGUAAGUUGCUCAAUUGCAAAUCCUUUCUUAGUAUAAUCAAUGUUGCUGAAUAUUCUUAAACCUGCUGGUGGUUCAUUCACUGCAGCCCUUUCAUGACGCUUUGGACGAUUAAUCUUUGUGUCCACGUCAUCCAAAAAGUGAGAGCAAAAAGUCAUGCACUCCUCUAGUAUAUAUCCCUCUGCUAUUGAACUUUCAGGAUAGGCUUUGUUCCGCACAUAGCCUUUCAACGUACGUAGAUACCUCUCUAUUGAAUACAUCCAUCUAUAGCAUACAGGUCCUCCUAGUUUAGCCUCUUCAGCAAGAUGAACUGGCAAAUGCAUCAUGAUAUCAAAAAAAGCUGGUGGGAAGAUCGUCUCCAUACGACAAAGAGUCUCUCUCAUCGAAAUGUUCAAUUUUUCUAACUCUUCGGUGCUCAACUCCUUAGAACAUAUUGCAUUGAAGAACCUACUAAGCUCAAUCAGUGGUUUAACAACCUCUUGUGGCAGUAUGUGACAAACCACAAUGGGUAAUAGUUUCUGAAAUAUAACAUGGCAGUCAUGAGUUUUAAGUCCAGAAAGUUUACACCUCGGCACAUCCACACAUCUCUUGAUAUUAGACGCGUAACCAUCAGGCAUCUUGACACCUUGCAGAAUUUACAUAGAUAUACCUUGUCAUCUUGACCCAAACUGUAUAAUGCUGGAGGCAAAGUGUAUUUGUCAUUCGUCACCAAAGGAUGUUGAUCCUUCCUCAUGCGCAAAUGUUGCAUGUCCAUACGAGCCUUCUCGCUAUCCUUGGAUUUUCCUGCCAUGUCAAGCAAGGUCCCCAUUAUGCUCUCACAUAUAUUUUUUUCAAUGUGCAUCACAUCCAAAUUAUGCCUUACAAGCAACUUUUCCCAGUAAGGCAGUUCAAAAAAAAUACUCUUCUUCCUCCAAUUGUGCCAUCUAGUGUCCUCUUCACGCUGCUUCCUCUUUUUAGUCGUGUUCCCAAAUGUCACUUGCUCAAAGCUUUCAUACUGUUUCAGCACACCUUCCCCAUCCAGUGGCACUGGAGGCUCCCUCAUUUCCACCUGGUUGUUAAAGCUAAUCUUAUUGCGGCGCCACCUGUGAUCCAUUGGUAAAAAGCGACGAUGACCUAUGUAGCAAUGCUUUGAACCAAAUUUCAGCCAUAAAUAGUCAGUAUCCUUGUGGCAGUAUGGACAUGCAAACUUGCCUUUUGUGCUCCAACCAGAUAGCAUGUUGUAUGCUGGGAAGUCAUUAAUUGUCCAAAGUAGAACAACACGCAGAGUGAAAUUUUUCUUUACCUUUGCAUCCCAUGUCUGAACACCAUUGAGCCAAAGAUCUUUGAGCUCAUCAAUAAGGGGAUGCAAAUACACAUCAAUGUUAUUUCCUGGAGAUUUUGGCCCCAGUAUCAACAUUGACAUCAUCUAGAACGGUUGUUUCAAACACAAUCAAGGAGGCAAAUUGUAAGGGAUUAGGAUCACAAGCCAUGUAGUGUAUGUCACGUUCAACAUCCCAAAUGGAUUGAAACCAUCAAAUGCAAGACCCAUCCUAACAUUACAAGGAUCCAAAGCAAAUUCCUUAUAAAUUUCAUCCACGUGUUUCCAUGCCAUGGAGUUAGCAGGGUGCCGCAUUUUUCCAUCUUGAACAAGUCCCUCCUUAUGCCAACACAUAUAUUUAGAUGUGGUCGCUCUCAUGUAUAACCUUUGCAGACGAGGGGUGACUGGAAAAUACCUUAGGAUUUUCUGUGGAACACGCUUCUUAGGUGCAGCAUCACCACUAGCUGCCUCCUUCUCACUUGAACCAACAGGUUUCCAUCUAGUCUCUCCACAUGUUUGACAUUUAUCCAAGUCAGCAUAUUGUUUUCUAAAUAAAACACAAUCAUUGAUACAUGCAUGUAUCUUUUUGUAGUACAGCCCAAGAUCACGAACUACCCUUUGCACUUUAUCCAAACUAUCUGGAACACAAUGACCUUUAGGGAGCACAAGCGAGAAUAGCUGAAGCACAGCCUCCAGAGCACUAUUACUGAGACCAAACAUGUACUUAAUCUAAAAUAGCCUGACAAUGAAUGAGACCUUAGUAGCCUCCUUGCAACCUGGAUAUAGUUUCUUCUGCGCCUCAGUUAAUAACUUAAAGAAUUUCUUAGCGCUUUCAUUUGGCUCUUCAGUUCGGAUUUCACCAUGUAUUGCACCACUGAUUAGUGAGGAAACCAAAUCAUUCAUAGACGGACCAUCCCCUGAUUCACCAUCAUUGCCAACUCCUUCAGUGAUGCUCGCAUAUGAAUCCUUUUCUUCUCCUUCCCCUUGGAUGAAACAUUCAGAAAAUCCCCUAAAAAGCAAAUGAUUUCUAAUUUCCUCAACUGUUCUGUAUGACAUGGAACGACAUCUUGUACAUGGAUAUGGUGUCGUAUCUCCUUUACAAGUGCUUGCAAAUCUAGUCUCCAUAAAUUUCUUCAAUCCUUUUUGCCAUUGAUCUGAUACUUGUGGCAGCCGCAUCCAACUCCGAUCAUCAUUAUGCGACAUUAAUCUCCUGCAUAUACAGUUAGUUGCUUAUAUCAGUAUAAGUCCCUGCUUUCUCCAUCUAUAUAUAAUUACCUCCACAUCGUCCGACGUCCGGCCGUCGCCGCCCUGCUGCCGCCGCAACCAGACCAUGCUACCGCCGCAACCAGACCCUGUUGCCGUCGCUACCCUGUAAUUACCCUAGGUCAACAACAAGGGUAGCGAUGCCAAAUAAUAGGCACGAAUGCAACGACCAGGGUCAUUAGAUAAAGCAAAGCCCAGCACCACGAAAAAACUAAAGCCCAACCCAACUUUUUUUUCCUCCGAUGCCUCCCCUCCCGUCCUUGUCUAGUCCGCCUCCUCUCAUCGAGCCCAGACCUCCUCCGCAUCCUCCUCUAGUCAUCCUCCUCCAAGAUCCGCACACCUCCCCCUAGAUCCGGUCCCCUCCCAAGUCCCCGCCGCUCCCCAUCCGCACUGCCCGGGUCAAUGAGGGAGUACCAUCACGACGCUAGGGGUUGUUUUGCCUGGGGCAACAAGGUCAUAAAGUUGGAGACGCCGUCGAAGGCCCACACCGCGGGAGGUCGGGGCCGCCGUGGCGACGCUUCUUCCUCACGUCGUCAACAAUUGCACAGCGGCGUCAACAGGCGGCCUACCACGCGGUCAGUUUCGAGGGGGUUUACCCUAGGGAAAUCUUUUUAGGUGAAGAUAACUGCCGACUCCGACUACGAUUCUGAUGUAGUUAUCAUCGGCCUGAACUCUAAAAUUGAGUCCGACACAGAGACGGAUGAGAAUAUUGACCACAUGUGCGAUCAGUGCAUCGAUGAAAUCAUAAUGUUCUUAGUUUCUUAUAUGUUUUUAUCUAUGUAUCCUCAUUUGUACUACAAUUCAAAGAUGGUUAAGAUAGCCAUUGAACCAUUGAACAUUUUUCUAUGUAGCUAUGUAUUGCACGUUGACUCCUGAACCAUUGAACAUUUAGGCAACAUUUAGGCAAUAUUUGGGAGACUGAUUCAACAUUGAUCAUUGAACAUGAUAGGAAUGUGAACAGGGGAAUGUCUAUGUUUUUAUCUAUGUAUCUAUGUCAGAAUAUCAGUCAUGCAUAAACCUCUGAAACAUUAAUCAUUGGACAUUAAAAUAUUCUGAACAUUGAAUGUCAGAAUGUAUUGUAGACUGAUUGUUUGAUGUAUUGCAGACUGAUUUUGAAGAGUUGAAAUCUGCUUUCAAGAAGUACGUGAAUCAUGCCAACGAAAAGUACAACAAAGUGGUGCAGGAGCGCCAUGACCUUGCCAAGAAGCUUGACAUAACUAAAGAGAAGGCAAAAACAUUAGUUGCAACAGUUAAGAGGCUUGGCAAGAAGAAGGUAGACAAUAAGUAGGUCUUGCUUCACAAAGUGUUUAGUUUUGUCUGUAACAUAACCUCUAGUGCUAUGAUCCCUAUCUGUCAUGUUCUUUUGGACUGCCUGUGUGCAUGGUGGCAAAACGUUGCUUGAUAAGCCUCAUUUUGAUCAAUGUGUUUGCUAUGAUCCCCAUCUGUCAUGUUACAUUUGAUCAAUCUGUUGGUCUAGCUGACAAAUACAUUUACAUUAUUAAAUUAUUGAUUGAAUGAGGUUACUGAAAUAACUGUCAAAGCCUUGCAACAUUGCCUACCUACUAAGUAAAACUCGCAACCAUUUUUCAACUCGUGGCGACAACACCUAUCUAUUGCAACAAAUUUCUUGUUGUUGCCAUGGGCUAUGUGGCAACGUAACAAAUUCGUUGCAAUAUAUCUUCCUACUUGCAACAUUACGUAUUUCGUGGCAAUAACCCUUACAUAUUGCAACGCAAAAAAAAAACUUUAUAACAACGCAAAAAAUCGUGGCAAUUUGUUCAGCAACUCGCAACCAUUUUCAACUCGUUGCGACAACACCGACCUACUGCAACUGAUUUUCCGUUGUUGCCUUGGGCUAUGUGGCAACGUGACAAAUUCGUUGCAAAAAUAUCAAAGCCUUGCAACAUUGCGUAUUUCAUGGCAAUAACCCAUCGAUAUUGCAAUGAAAACAAUUAAUAAUUGCAAUAAAAAAUACACGUGGCAAUAUCGCCUACCUAUUGCAACGAAUUUUGAAAUGGUGGCAAUAACGCCAACCGGUUGCAACAAAAACUCAAAAUCUUUGUAAUAACCCCUACCUGUUGCAACAAAAUUUGAGUUGAUGGGAUGAUGGCCGUGGCAAUAGCCCUGAAAUCUAGUAGUGCAUGCAUGGUGUAGUCAACCAAAAAGAUGUAUGUGAUGCAGCAGCAUGGUUUGCAUGACAUUCACAAGAACAAGAUGAUUUUUUAUUUUUACCUUUAUUGUGCCGACUCCCUUGUUUCUAACCAGAUGCUUCCUUCUCAUAUUUGGCCAACAGAUCCUUGAAAGUCGGCUUUGCCUUAUUCUUUAGAUUUUGCUUGGCUCCAGAUUUUCUAGGAUGACUGGUCAGACCGGUCUGUGCAGAACCGGUAGCCUUGUUUUUGCCUUGCCCCCCCAAGCAUAGAAGUCUUUGCUGUGACUUGAGGCACGUUUUUCUCAGGUCUUUCUUCACCAAUAAUCACAUUCUUCCUUUAGCCUUUUCGGCUUGAUCCGGUCGAAUUAGGACUUUGAGAUUUGUCAACUCAAGAGUAUUCACCGGAAAAGGAUUUUGAUCAACUUGCAUUUCAUGAAAAGUCAAACAACCUUCAUUAAUAGCUGAUUGUAUUUGCCGGUGAAACACAUUGCAAUCAUUAGUGGCAUGUGAGAAAGUAUUAUGGAACUUGCAAUAUGCUUUCCUCUUCAACUCUUCAAAUGGAGGCAUAGUAUGAGAAUUUUUCAGAUGUCCAAGUUUAAGGAAUUCGUCAAAAAUCCUAUCACACUUGGCUACAUCAAAAGUAAAUUUCAUAUAUUCUUGCCGAUUCUUUCGGACCGGCUUGAGAGAAGCACAAGUAUCAGGUUUACCCUUAUGUGGCAAUACAAAUUUAGUAGCUAGGACAUCAUUACUCUCAUCGUCCGAGGAAUCAUGAUCUAACAUAUGCAUGUUGGGACGAUCAGAUUUGAGCCGACUAUCUUUAGCUCGGCUUUCCUGAGCCAAUGCUCUUUGUAAGACCUGGGUAACAUUAGCAAAUUCAUGACCCUCCAAUUUGUCUCUAAUAUGGGAUCGCAAUCCAUUAAAAGCUAAUUCAGCAAGAUCCCUCUCGAAGAUGACAAGACUAUAACAACGUUUUUUUACAUCUCUAAACCUUCUGAUAUAAUUAGCAGCAGGCUCAUUAGGCUUUUGCUUAACCGAUGUUAAAUGACUCAAUCUCAACUCAUCAUCUCCACUAUAAAAGUGGUCAUGAAAUUUCUGUUCUAAUUGCUCCCAAAUAUGAAUAGAAUUAACAGGUAAGAAGCAAACCACGAAAAAGCGGUUCCAGUUAAAGAUAAAGAAAAUAACCGUACUUUUAAUUCUUCUGCAGAGCCAGCUUCUCCUAAUUGAGCAAGAUAUUGGCUAACAUGCUCUCAAGUGGUUUUGCCAUCAUCCCCACUAAACUUCACAAAUUCAGGACAACACUAACCAGAAGGAUAAGGAGCCUAAUCAAAACUCAAAGGAUAUGUCUUUUGAUAGGUACGGGUUUUAUGCUUCACCUCUAUUCCAUAAUAUUCCUUCAUUUGCUUAGCAAGAUUGGCAUGAAACCUAUCCUGAACUUCUUGAAUAGUGGUUGGCGGAGGCAAUGGUGGUGUAACAACAUUCGAUUGCAACACAUUCUGUUGUAUAGGUGGACUAUGAACAUUCUGUUGCAAACAACUAUUGAAUUGAGAAUUAGGCAUGGAACCAUAUGAACUACCCAACCCAAAAGGCACCACAGGAGGAGUGCUAUAAGCUGCUGCUGGAUAUGGAUUUAAAACUCCAGGAAUCUCACCAGAUCAGCCAGAGAUAGCCUGAACGGGAGGUACAACAGCUAUAGGCUCAGGAGAUGACACAUACGGGACCAAAGCACCCUGACCAGUCAGACUGGUUAGACCAUGCGGUCUGACCGGUUGAUACUGACCAGAUCGAGGUGGAGGUGAUUGUCCCAUAAAGUAGUGCAACGUCAUGCCAUACUGAGGCCCCACUGUGGGUGUUGCCGAUGUACUAUUAGAUGGGAUAUGAGGUGGUACAGGAUUAGAAACAGAUGCAACAUCAUUGCCUCCCCCACACGUUUGCCAUUAGACCUAUCUACCAUAUCUUGAACACUUUUAUUUAUCAAUAAGCGCAGAUCGUCAAUUACGGUAGUAAGGUCAGCCAUGGUAAUAAAAGGAGAUGGCGGUGAUGAUGUGCUUACAUUGGUUUGUACCUCAGGUGGCGGAGUGAUGAAAGUGUUGUUGGAGGUAGAAGCGAAGUCAAUUUCCUUGAUCUUCUUCAUCGCGCCUCUUCGGUCGACUUCGAAACUUGUGAUCACGGCUCGCAAGUCCUCCUCAUCGCGCUUCUUCUUGCGCUCCUCCAGCAUCUGGAAAAUCUCUUUAGGAAGUUGCUCGAACAUCAACUUGACCAUGUUCUUCGUAGUAACAUUGGAAAGAUCUUCUUCACCGACCACCACAACCGAUGUGUCUUUCUUCUUCUUCCCUAGGGGAGUCACAAAAUGUGUUUAUGCUUUUUUGGGCCAACACAUGAACGCACACGACCGUACGGCACGUGGAGGGGCUCGCUGCAGCACCUCGGCGCAGGCCGGUCUGACCAGUUACAGGGACCGAUCUGACCGGUUGUCGGGCAGGUCGAUGGUAGACCUUCGAACGCUCGCCCGGGAAGGAUCCUGUCAGGGCAGGCGCACGCAGGGUUGCUCUAGGAUUGGCAGGCCACCUAGAACGCUUUCCGACGUCGUCGAGACAAAGGAAGAAUAGCAAGAUGGGGUUGGAAAAGCUAAGGCAAAGAGGAAUAGUAAAAGAUGCAAAAAUAGUAGAUUGGUAUGUUUUUGUCGAUUGGAUCUAACUCAAUCGGCCGUAGCCCUUCAUAUUUAUAGGGAGGGGAAGUCUUGCCCCUUAAGGAGUCGAAAGCCUAACAAAUCUCGUGCUAAAAUGCAACUCCAACUCGGUUUACAUAGAGCCAGAUCGGUCAGACCGGCCUGGGCAACCAGUCUGACCGGGUGCAGAUCUUGCAAAGGCCAUAUCUUCCUGAUAUGAACUCCAAAUCGGACGUUCUAUAUAUGAAUCUUGAUCUACUCGACGAGCUCUACGCAAUGGUGAAGUCCAAUUUGCAUUUUGGGAACUUUUCCCAAAUCGGUCUGACCGGUUGGGAGACCGGUCUGGACAAGCCUGACCAGGUUUCCCAAGUCCUGCCACUUUUGGGCGUCAACAGGUACUAACGGGUUAGACUGAAAUAGAGAAAGUGAACAAAUUUACCAUGAGAUCUUGAUUCGUACUAGCGUGAGUGCAAGCGUUUCACAAUGGUUUUAAAGGAACUGAUUCAUACCAAGCGGAUAUCAAUCAAUACUAAAAAAUAACAACGCUGACAUAGAACAUUGGCCGUCCAGUGAUAAAUUUUUCCCUACGUUCACAUCAUAGCACCUUGACAAAUUUCUUGCUCCAGUAUUUACAUUCUACUACUUGCUACAAUACAGUAGAUGCUGCAGUUUUAGUGCGUGGAGUUGCAGAUGCACAGUUCUUAUCAUAAAUACAACACAAAUUAAACUCCAAAUUCAGCCUGUGAUGCUUCAAAUGAACACCUCUUCUUGUAUGUCCACUAUGAAGACAAGUUCUCAUGUGAGAGGAUAUGCACCCCAACAUAUAUAACACAACAAAUAGUGUUGGGAAACAAAUCUCAAGAAGACUCGUACACAACAAAGUUAAGGAAGCACUUGCGAUUCAACUCUGAGAAGUGAGCAUCCAUGUACAUCGGAGUAGGGUUCCCCUUUUAUAGUAUCUUGAAGGACACUUUACAUUCCACGAUUACCCUCUCUCAACUACUACAUUAUUGGAAUAUAUUGUAUACACAGAGGUCUUUUGGAGGUAACUUGUGCGACUUGGUCUCCUCUACUGAGUCAUGCUUCUCACACCCUCAGGCAAUCCCGCAAAUCAUGCUCUCAGGCAAUCCCACAAAUCACGCUCUCAGGCGAUCCCGCGAAUCACGUUCUCAGGCGAUCCCGCGAAUCACGCCUUCACGUUUCCAAUGUCUUCGCGCCUUCAACCUCGUGAAAGAAGUCAUCUCAGCUUCAUGCUCGAAGUCAUCUUAACCUCGUGCCAGAAAUAUGCCAGCCUCGUGCCUUGGAUCCUAGCUUGCUCGUUUCAACGACCCUGAGUAAAACAUAAUAAACAACCCGGCUCUUGGGGUUAUUUUCGAGCGCAUGAGGGUUGACUUUGUUAUAGCCUGGUCAUCAGAGAUUAUUUCUUGGCUUCGAGACUAGGUCCGUAGAGACGAAGCGAGGCUGGCACGAUUUUCACACCACACUGGUUCUGCGAGGUUAACAACCUUCACCCGUGGUUAAUGAUCUUGCGAUGCUGGUAGGCUUAUGCCGAGCAAAAUGACCUCGAGGGUGACCAUCUUUUUGGAUGAUCCCCAACAGUAUCCCUUCAUGGGUAAGGGUCGACACCGACGGCAGAACCCGCGACUAAGGAUCUUCUCCCAAAAAAUGUCACCCUCGAGCGCCAGUGAGAAACGAGACAACAGUUACCUUUUUGUGUCGUACAUGUCGGUUUCUUAUUGAAUGACUCUUCGUAUUCAACUCGAGGUUUAAGGUUCCAUUUCGCGCCCGUUACCACGCCUAUCAAGGGGGGGGGUUGCUUUCAAUUUUUACCCUCGCAUCUUAGACCUUUGCUUACCACUUUCUUUGCACACUGCUUGUUGCUUUGAGAUUCGUGCAUUGCAUGCUGUCGUCCUUGAUCUCCAAAGUCUCGAAGGUAACGAUGUUGUUCAUAUUUUGCUCUAGUUUUUACUUUGUUGUUUUUAUUUUGACCUAAUAUUUGGUCGUUGCACAACUGGCUCGUAUUAUGCAAACCGCGAGGCCUAUGAUAGCCAAGGAACUUGUUGAAUAGUCAAGGCUUCACACUGAGGCUAGAGAAGAUCUCGAGAUAGUUGAAGCCAGUGAGGACGUUGUUGACGAGGGUACCGCAGGUGAGGGUGCCGCAGACGAAGGUGGUCUCGAGGCUGCUACUGAUAGCGGGGAGGACUUUUCUAACGUUGAGGCGGACCCCUCAGACCUGAUGGCUGGCAAAGAAGUUUAUCCUCCCACCCUAUGGUUCGGGAGAUCUCUGGUUUCAAAGAAUACCAUAGAUUUCUAUGUUAGCAAAGGUUAUUUUCCCGAAGGUAUUGCUAGGCCUUUGGGUGAUGAAAUUGUGCCAGCGCCUAAGGUAGGUGAGGCUAUGGUGUUCAGAGACUUCUUCACAGCUGGCUUAAGGGUGCGAUAAGGAGUUGCCAAGGAUUCUUGAUCGGUACAGGGCUAGGCUUCAUCAUCUUACGCCGAACUCCUUUGUUGCACUCUCCAAGUUUUACUGGGUCCAGUGCAUGUUUGGCGGACAUAUCAAUGUUGAUGGGUUUGCGAGGUUAUUAGAGCUUCACAUCCAAUGAAAAAGAGUUGUGUUCAAUGAUGAGGAAGGUACCUUCGAGAAGUAGUUGGGUUGUUGCACAUUCACGACUUGGAGGAAGAAUGAGAAACAGAAAAUCGCGAUUGUUGAAAUUUCCUCAGCACAGAAGAACAGGUCGGAUGACGAUUGGCUGAAUUAUUGGUUUCAUGUUAAAGUUGACAUGGCCGACGCAUCUAGAACCAACCAGUAUUUUUAUCCUUUCUACGCCCCGUUGGGUCCUAUGGACAUCUCCACUACUCCCCAAUUUUUGAGGACCGGGGUUGUUAAGGAAUGUGAGAACGCCUUUUUCUCAGCCUUGAAGUCAAUCACUGGGCGGGAUCUUGUCGAGGAGUUCGUGGUAGCUAACAUCUGGCCUCUUUCUGAUGGGUGGGAACCGAAGGAGAUUGUGCGGAAGAAUGUCUCGUGGCGCACUAGUCCGCUCCCUUACCCUCAUUUUGGUUUGAAGCUGCCUGAGGGUGUCAACCCCGGACUCUUUGCAGAGGAGGUUGAGAGAUGUGCCAUAGAUAUUCUUGGCCCGUGCCAUGAAAAUGAGCUAUCAUCUGCCCGGAAGAUCAUUAACCAUGAGUUUCGAGUUAACCGUGUUUUUGAAGAGCUUGGAGUCGAGGUUGUGCCCCGCUCGAAGCCUUGCAAAGCUUCGAAGCGGAUGUGCGAGUCCGGCGUGACUGGCUUAGAACAGAUUGGUUGGGGAGGGAAAGGGAAGAAGAAGAAGAAGGUCAAGAUUGCAGCCUCGAAGGCUGUGGUCGAGGUUACGAAGAAAGAACAUACCUAAGCGAGCAUUGUACUCGAAGCUACAAAAGUGAAGUUGAAGACCUCGAGCCUCAAGGCUCUUAAAAAGAAAGAGAGACUUGGGCAAGGUUCUGAGGGCCAAGCUGCUAAGAGCUCUACUACUUCUACCUUUCAGGCUGAGCCGGUUGUGACCAAGCCUGAGCUCGAGGCUACCGGUACGCUCGCCGGUAUGAAGGUCAAAAAGUUUGAAAGGAUGUCACAUGUUGCUAGGGUCGUGAACAAGGAUGAUGAUGCUCUUCUAGAUGUGGACUUGUCCUUGGUCCCCGAUACUGGCGUCCUUCCAAGAGAAACCCAAACCGAGGCUGCUGCGUCUCCUCCACACCGUGAGGGUAACCCUCAGGUGGAGGCAACUCUCAAGGAUACCAUUGAGAAGAAGGAUGAGGCGUCCGCCUUGGAGCCAGCAAAGCUAGGUAAAAAUGUCAUUGUACAUUUGCCUAAGCUGAGCUUUAUUGAUUCUAGUGGUACCUCCCCUAGAUUCCUAAGGGAGCUAUAGAAAAAUAUUGGCGCAGCUAGAGAGGUAUACAAUGAACCUCCUCUAAUAUUCAGGGUGAAACUUUAUGUUGCAGAUUCUCAAUUGCCUCUGUCGUUGGAAACCUACAACGAGCUCUUCGGUACGAAUCUUAGAGAACAGCUAAUAGCUGUUCAUGUGCCGGGGUCAGGUGAGGAUGACGACCUGUACAACUUACCAUUGUUGUGGGGGGCUAAGAAUGCAAUGCGUGCUAUAGAUGAGGCAGUGAAGGUGCUUUUUAAGAAGUUUGGGGAUGAUGGGGGCGAGGUUGAGGAAAAAGAAUCUGUGGAGGAGGGAGAGGCCAGCCCCGCUCAAGUCUCCGGAAAGUCCAAGGCGCCUGCUGAGGGCGACUACGAAGAUAGAGCCUUUGACCCUGAGAGUUAGUGUUUGCUCUUUUGCUCAAGCUUGAUUGCAGUUAAUUUUUAUUGUCCUAUUUAUCUGAUAUGUCUUGCUUUUGACAGAGUAUGAAAAGUCUAUUGGCCGCUUUGAGCCCAAUGACUUGGCUAGGAUGUCAGCUACCCUCGGGUAUAAGGUAGUGUAUCCGACGCUUGCUGUUUUCAUUUUUAUUAUUUUGCCAUUGUCUAAGUUUCCCUUUGGUGUUUCUGUCUUGUAGUCUAUUAUUUUGGGCAAACUUGCUGUUGACAAACUCGCUGCGAAAGAGAAAUUCAUGCUUAGUUAGAGCCCGAGGAUGGCAGAGCUUGAGGCUAAGGUUGUGAGGCUCGAGAAAGAGAAUGGCAUUCUAUACAAUCUGAAGAAUGAGCUUUCCGAGGCCAACUCCGAGCUUCAAAGAAACAAGGUGUUGCUUACGAACACUUGCAGUGACCUCGUUCAGAAUUUUUAAAGGCUAGAGAAGAGUUUCGGAAAAAAUCUUGUUGUUUUGGAGAAACUCCGAAACACUGUUGAAAAAGAUUCAUAGACUAGAAAAGUAUAAGGUGAUUCAUACCCUCGGUCAGAAGCUUCAGGAACAAAAGACCUUUGUUGAGGAGGCGGAGAAAGUUCUUAAGAAGAGGUUUACCGAGAUUUAUGAGGGAUACAAGGCUGCUCUCACGGAGUUUGGUGCUGAACCUCUUCCAUUUCCAAGCGAUGAAGGCACGAAAGAAAUGUUUGAUUGGAUGGAUGAGGAAUUCAAGGGUCUGCCUGAGGCUUUAACCAGGGUUAGUGAUUACACCGCUGCCUUUUGCAUUGAGAGCGUGUUCCAACUUCUUGAGUAUGAGGGUUGCUCUCAUUUUUUGAAGUUCGGGCCUCGUGCUUACAACUUUCCCUUGGCCUCGGAGAUUGAUGAGAAGGAGAAGUCCAAGAAUGUGAGGGUUGUGAAGUUAACUUCUACAAGCAGCUUAGGCUGCUUCCAGACGUGAUCAUGCGAGGUUCGUUGCCCAAAAGCAACUUGCGUAGGUUAGGGUUCACUUGAUCUUGCUUUUAUCUCUCUUCUUUUUGGUUUGUUAUUUGAUAGUUUUUUAUUUUUUCAUAGACCAAGGAAGAGGAAUCCAGAGGUGAGGGCAGAAGCGGGAGUAAUGGCUCUGACCGAGACAGGGAUGCUUUUCACAGACCAACUUGCUCGAGGCUUAGUUGAGAAUUUGCAUUGUUGGCCAUAGUCUUGUGUAAUGAUGGGAUGCUUUUUGUAGACCAUGAUGUAAAUAUUAGUCAUUGGCAAGUAUUGAGUGCGUCAAGCUUGUUGCCUUUAAUGUUGGUACCCUCACAGAUUCUUUUUAUCUCAAGGUUUUAAUGUUUGUGCAAUCUUAAUUGCUUGGUAACGAAAUUUGCAGCAUGGAGGAGCGUCGGGCUUUUCUUUUUGAAAAAUGUAACCCCCUCCUAGCUCCUUCAUGCGUAGAUUUUGGCUCGGUUUCCGUGUUCGUUGCUUAAGCGAUACGAUGGAGAUUUGUUUAUUGGGCUCGAGAUGAAGCUCCGAGAACAAAGGGAUGAGAAACAUUUUUUUUAAAAAUGUCACCCCUUGCCUUUUGUUUGAGGGUUUCGCUCGAGGCUGUUUUCUCACGGAAAGAGAAUGAAAACAAUUUUUGUCUAUAAAAAAAUGUUACCCCCUCGUUUUCAUCCCUUUUUCAUGAAAGAAAUUGAACUUAGAUAUAGCUUGUGGAUGUAGAAGAUGAGUCAACAAAAAACUUGGUUUCAAGUUUCGUUGACUUAGAAGAGGUAGCGAAAGGUUGGUCGAUGUCACGAUCCUUAGUUGCUUCGACCGUACAAUUUGCGAGGGUACGAGGUUCAACAGGUUUUUGCUAACUCGUUUCACACUUCCUUUAACAUUUUUCUCGAUGAUGGGCCCCUCUGAGGCGGCUUUUGAGCUUUUAUGCUCGUGUGUGAAUGCAAGCUUUCCCUUUUCAAAAAAACAUCACCCUCGCCCUUCUCACCUUUUGGCGUCAAAGAGGUUUGAUGAAUUUUGACAAUCUCCAAGAUAAGUCGACGAAAAACUCGCUUUCGAGUUUUGUUGACUUAGAAAAAUAACAGAAGUUUGGUUGAUAUCGCAACCCUUGGUUGCUUCAACCAUGAAGUUUUGUGAGGUCGCAAUUUUGGGUCAGUUUUGCUAACUUCGUAGGUCCUCCUAUGAGGCUUGGUUAUGGUUUAGUGUUUAUUUUGGAAAAUUAGAGUUAAACUACUAGCUUUUACUUUAGAGGGUUAUGUGAUGGAAAAUCAUAGUUGGGCCCGGGGCUAAAACCUAAGAAUAAAGGGAUGAGGAUAUUUCUUUGAAAAAAUGUCACCCCCACCCUUUUGCGAGGGUUUUGGCCAAGGUUGAUGCUUCGCGUAAAAGGAUGAAAUGAUUUUUCUUGUUGAAAAAUGUCACCCCCCGUGUUUUAUCCUUUUGCGUGAAAGGGACUCGGACUAGACCCGACUCGAGGACUUAUGGUGUGAGUGAGUAAAAACUUGUUUUAAGUUUUGUUGAUUUAGAGAUAUGGCGAGAAGCUGGUCGAUAUUGCAACCCUAGGUUGCUUCGACCACAAAGUUUAUAUGUGAGGCUUGGUAGGCCUUCUACUGACUUGCCUCUCAAUUUUUAACCUGCGAGACCGAGCCUUUUUUUGUAGCCCUUGGAUGGAAAAAGAACUUUUUGCGUGUAUAGCGCGCAUGUAAUACGAGGCUGUGGCAGAACCACCCAAGUUAACCCAGCUAAAGUGUACUCAAUAUCGCCUUAAAUGCGAAUAGACACUUUAAUCGAAUUAAAAUGGCAGUAUGUCGGGUUUCACCCGAUACAACCACGGAUUUUGGAUCGAAACAAUGAAUACUCCCACGAAGAAGAGUCUAGAGGUUACAACAAUCUAGAUAUUUCAUUACUGGUCUCAAAUUAAGUUAUUACAACUCAAGAGUUCAAAUGCAUAGAAGUAGUGUUCAAAGUUCAAAAGCAGCGGAAAACAACAAGAGGUUUAACAUCGAUACAAAAUACUAUGGUGAAGCCUACCAUGAUAUCAGCACCACGUUCCUCGCCGACCGAGGAUGGGUCCCACUCGACCAUCCAACCCGGAGGGAGUUGGGUUAGCCAAGUCAAACUGGCAACCAUAUCCUUAAAAUCAACAUUACCUGAAAACAUAGCCACAAGUAAGGCUGAGUAUGCUAAUACUCCGCAAGACUUACCCGUCAGGUGGUAUCUAAUGCACCGACUCCUAGACAUGCAAGGCUUUUUGGCUGAGGGGUUUAUUUUUGCCAAAAGCAUCUAAAGUGGAUCCUUACUUUCAAAUUUUAGCAUCACGUUCUAGUUGAUUAACCAUUCUAGGUAAGCACUUAUUCUAAGCAAGCAUAGCGAAACAAGCAAUUUAAUGAAGCAUCCAUAUUAAUCAUCAUCCUUUGUUCCUCUUCUUACUCAAUGCAGAAAGGCAAUCAAGUAGUCCCAAACUGUAAGAAGUAGACGAUUUGGAUCGAGUUUCUUAACCUUGGAAGGUGGACCUAAACACACGACAUAUGCGUACCACGAUAGGUUCACAUCAUAUAUCGGUGGUUGCCCUCAAUUCACGGUGCUUGUCCAGAGCCUACUUCCCUUGGAUACAAGGCCCCACCGGUCCCGGACGAUGCCGUAUCGAGGCUGCACUUGUACCCACAUGAUGCAUCAGGGGAACUCGGUUCUAGAGAGAGUGGGGGAAAAGGUCCACGCCGGUUCAAUCAGGUACUAGGCUUCCCGAUCCCAUACUCGGUAUGUGUUUAGUACUUUCAAACACUUGACCACAACUCUAACACAUUUCGACCUUAGCAGUUUUCCUCUAAACAGACGGGGCAUCCACCAAUUCCAAAACAUAUUACCAAGCCCCGCCCGUCAACCUUAUGAUUCCAACAUAAAUAAACAAGCAACUCCUAUAGCUCAUGAGUGACAGAAAAUCACUUGACUUUUACCGUGUCCCUAUUUAGCAUAGCAACUACUCGACUUAUCAUGCUAGUAUUCAACACAUGGGUACUAGGAGCAUGCAACUAAGGUUUCAAGCAACUCCUACAAAUAUAAGUCACAAAAGUAUUGCAUAAUUUUAGAAACCAAGGUUAUGCUCCGGGUCUUGCCAUCCUGUACUAGGUUAGUUUGGGGCUCGUUUGAAGCUUGACUCGGAUCCUGGGCAACCUCGAUCUGGUUCACUUCCGCAAAUGGCUCCUCCUCAGCUUCCGAGAUCAGCUCGUAGGUACCGUCGGUGAGAUUUGCUUCUACACAAGAUGCAUAUGCAAGAUUUCAAUUACAUGGUUUUACGUGCAGGUUGCAUUUCAUGAAUUAUUAUAGAAGCAUAGAUUGCAUUUCGACCAUAUUCACGUAGACAAGAUUUUGAACUUUUCUUUCUUCGUAAAGUAAGGUGUGUUGCAAUUUAAAACUCGGGAUUGACUUUGAUGGUGAUUUUGUACACAUAUAAGGUUUUAAAAACUUAGAAUUCAUAAAAGAAAGGUGGGGUCAUUUUGGUGCUGCUUGGCAAUCAUUUGGAAGUUAUCCUAUUUCUGAAUUAUAAACAAACAUAAUUAAGCAUUUACUAGUUUACCAUUUCUAGUAGCAAUUGUUAUAAUUAAUUUAAAUUAGCUAUUAAACUUGAAUAAAUAUUUUUGGAAGCAUUUGUUAAGAUAUGAUUUUUAAAUUUUUUAAGAAGCUUCCCCUCUUCACAAGUGAUCUAUUGUAAAAAUUUGAGAUGCACUUGACUUCUACAGAAUUUACUAAAAACCAAACAGUAUUGAAUUGCAGAACACGAAGAAUGAUUUUUAACUAGAGUUUCAUCAUCCUGGAUCCACAAAUUUUACAGAAAGGUUACGAACACUAAAAGAGGCUACUGUAAAUUUUUCAAGGUUUUAUAUGCGCGAGAACUAUUUAUUGCAUACUAAGGAGAUUAAACAAUAUGUAUUUCAUUAAGCAAUGCAAAACACAUAUCUUACAUAAGCAAAUAUUUUUCCUAGUUAGACAUAUGCAUCAGGAGUCUAAAAAAAUUUAUCUUGCAUUUUUAUUUGUUUUCCACUAUUUAUUGAGCAAAAACAAGAUUAAUAUAACAUUUAAGCAUUUGAACCUAAAACAGUAGGAACAUCAUCUAAUCCAGUAGUAUGAGUUACAAAUCUAGAACAUGCAUAUCAAGAGUAAGCUAACAAAAGUGGUUUCAUAUUUUUUCAGAGCUUUCUAUGAUUUAUAAGGCAUUUAUUAGCUUUUAUACAAAAUAAAACCUAGUGUUACAUACAGAACAGUAACAUGCAUGUAAAUAUUUUUAAGUGAAACUAGACAUUAUCAGGAACCUAGCAAAAUAAGUUUCAUAUUUUUCCCAUUUUUCUACAUUUUCCUAGACUUUUCCCAAGUUUCAGCCGUUUAAAUCAAAUUUAAAACUGAAAAAGGAAAACAUGCUUCGCGACAAGGCCCUUAAAUCUUUUGAAGCUUCACAACUAGGCCCGUGCAUCUUACACCUAAGACCCUGGAAACAUUUGGGGCUUUGCAAUGUAGUGCCCGGGCUCGGCCGGCGGCGCUUCGGCCAAAAUUUCGGCGAGCUCCGACAAUGGGGGUGCAAGGUGAGGGCUUGAGCGUGACGAGGGGCUCACCUAGGGUCACUGAGCUAUGGAGAUUGUGGGCGGAGGGUGGCCAGCGGUGGCUAUCGACAGUGAGCUCUCGGGCACGGUGGUGGUUCGUUGGCUCCGGCGGCGGUGGUGUGAAGGGAGCCGGGGAAGUGCACGAGGAGCUGCUGUGGGGCACGGGUGAUCCACUGGGGGCCUAAGGGGGUUGUGGCAGGGCUCAGGCAGUGGUGCUCCAUGCUGAGGGGCAAAGGCGCACGUGGCAGAGCUUCGGCCGGUGCGAGGGCGGAGAGCAGCGCCGGCAGGGAGGGCUCUGCCCCCUUUUAUAGCGGCAAGGUGGCACGGGCGAGCGUGGAUAAGCUCACGACAUGGUUGGGUGAGCGUGUGGCAGCCGGGCACAGGUGGAGCAGAGCAGGGGCGUGCCGGGAGUGGCUGUGGUGGCGUGCGGCACGGUGCGUGUGGGCGACGGGCGGUGACUGGCCGGGGGGAUUGUGGCGAGGAGGAGCAGAGAUUGUGCAGCCGGUGAGUGGGUGAGGGCUGGGCUCCAUCAGGUCAUGUGGCCGAUGAGCAGUGGUCGGGUGGCGCUUCCUAGCGGCGCAGUGCCAGGCGACGCGCCGUGCGCAAUCACCCCCGAUUCGCGCACAUGGGUGUCGCGUGUGGCGUGUGAGGGCAGCAGCUUUGGUGCAAAAAUUGCUCCAUAUUUUGAAACUAAACUUUGAAAUCUUCAAAAACAAAAAUUUGAGUUGGAACCUCAGGCUACAACUUCUACAAAAGCUUCCUGGUGAAAAUUGUGCUACAUUUGGAAAUAGACUCAUUUGAAAAUCGGCAGAAUGCCGGCCAAAGGUGAAUUUGAAAUAAAUUUGAAUUUUUCACCAAACUUGAACUAGAUUUUGAAUGCCUUCCACUCAAAAUCAAAGGGAGUGCAAAAAAUGAAAGUUGCUUGUUCUGAAAAGUUCUACAACUUUUAUAUUGGCCAAAAGUUGAGUUCUUAUAUGAAAAUCUUAUUUUAAAUCCUACCCAAAAAAUGCCCUUUAAGAGGUGUCUUCAACACUUAGCCAAUUUUGGAGUGUAUUUGAAUUUGUCAAUUGGCAAUUUGAAUUUAGGUGUGAUUUUUUUUAUAAUCACUAUCAUUAUUAUUUAAUUUAUCUUCCUAAUUACUAGGGAUGUUACAGAGACUAUGCAACUUAUCGUUGGUUUAAUGUACCUUGCACAGAAACGCAAGUUCUCAAUGUGCAAAAACGCGAGGUUAGGCAACUUGUUGCUUUCAAGCACUUGCGCAGAAAUACAAGUUUUCAUCAUGCAGAAACACGAGGAUAUGCAACUUGUUGCUUUCAAGCACUUGUGUAGAAACGCAAGUUUUCAUCGCACAGAAACGUGAGGUUAUGCAACUUCUUGUUGUUGCUUUGAGGCGAGAAUCAUUGGGGGAAUUUCAUUUCAUUGAAAUAAAAGAAAUUUGAUAAGGAUUUGCCUCAUUAAAAAUCUUGCUUCCUGAUGAGGAUAUCCCUAACAUUAACACUUCUCCCAUACCUAAACAAAAUGCUAUUGACAUUAUUGGACCAUUUACAAGACAACGGGCAAAACUGUUAGGGAAGGAAAUUAAUGCUCAGGUGAACGCUAACCUUGCAUUCGUUACAAAUGAUGUUGAAGAUUCAUCGAUGCAUUCAGGUUGUUGCUUUAUUAUUCUUAGGAAUGAUGGAGUAUAUGAAAGUGCAUGGGAUGAUGAUAAUUUUAGUCCACAAGUGUUGUUCAAAUGAAUUCUUCAAUUGUAAAAACUCAGGACUAAAAAGGUGAAAGCUAUCCCUAAAUACACAUUACAAUUUACAUCUUGAAUUGUAUAUUGUGUUUUCACUUUUAUUUCAGAUUCCACUUAAUUUAUGGAUGUGCAAGGCUGCUACAAGUAUUGAGAAAAAUCUACAACUACAUUCAACCAAGACAAAGACACUAAAAGAGGAUAGGUAGCUGCAAAUUUUGCUCAAGUGCAAGUCAAGGAUGUCAAUGCCACUUAUUAAUCAGGUCCACGGAGAUGGAAAACUGUUCAUGUCACUCUACAAGCACAGGAAGACCAAACACUUCAGAAAACCAAUAGCCAUGAUAUUUUGUUUUCCCACUAGCUGAUAUCAAUAAAGCUUUAGUGGAAACUGAAGUUACCCACUUGAACUAUAAGUAUAACUGUAUUAGGACGUGAGGAGGACUUUUGGGCUAUCAAAAAUUUGUGUGACACUUGUGUUCUAUUCAGAACAACCACUCGUGAGUCUUGAGAGACUUGCAAAACUUGUUCUUUCGAUUCCUGAGGGAGUUGUAGAACGCCGAACUGUGGUUCACCCAGUUUGUGUCUUCAUGUCUUUACGGCGUGAUUGCGUGGGCUGGUUUCUUUGGUGUGUGGAAGGACGAUUGUCUUGGCGGUUCGUUGUGUGUGUAGAACUCGCGGUGCACUGCCUCGUCGUUAGAUCAUGCAGCAAGAGUUAUCAAUUUCGUGGAUCCUUCAAGAAGAUCCAGCCACAUCUACUCGUCACACGUAAUCCCUAGGCAUGUGCACGUCAUCUGGUAUCAGUGCCUUCGUUUACUUGGUAGGAUCGUUCUUCUUUUGGUAGGAUAGUUUGUUCCUUUUCCUAUAGUCCACAAACAGCCACACCACCAGCAAAUUAUAUACCUAUCUUUUCAAUUUUGCAUCUGAAUUUUAGUUUGUAGUUUUGAGUUUUAAUCUGUUGAGUCUUGUCUAGUUGCUAGUUCUCCAUUGUUCUUUUCUUUUGUUGAUCAUAAAUCACAUCAUUGAUAUGCUCCAAAUUUUUCUUGUGAUUGAGCAUUGCUAUCUCUAGUUCACAAUUACAUAAACCUGAGCAUUCAAUCCUCAAUUUUUUUCUCACCAAACGCUUUGCAUCAAGUUCCUUUCUUUUUGUUUUGCAUAACCCAACCUGCACUACAUCCUUAUUGUAGCAAGUAAAAAAAAUAGAAAAACAAAAGAGAAAGGAAGUGUUCCUAUUUUGAAAAAAAGUAUCACAAAAAAAAGA